UUUAAGCAGGUACUCAUAACACUAUUUUGUGCUAUCAUCGACAAAAAAUAAUAAAGUACUUUUUGCUACUUCUUGUUUGUACAAAUUUUAAAUCAUAGAUGUCACUAUGAAUUAAAUCAAGUGGUUCUAUAUUUCAUUCAAUUAAUUUUGGAUUUCAAUUAGUAUUAGAGCUUGUACUCUCCUUCAAAAAAUUUUACAAUCUUGAGUAAUGGCUAACCAAGUUUUUCAAAAUUUUGAGGGGCACUCCACAAACCGACCUCCUUUCUUUAAUGACACAUACUAUAAUUAUUGGAAAGUUAGGAUGAUGCUAUAUAUUCAAUCAAUUGAUUAUAACAUUUGGGAAGUUAUUGAAUACAGUCCCAAUGUGCCUACCAAGACUAACAAAAUAGAUGGGAGACCAUAUGAAACUAUCCCUAAGCCUAAAGAGGAAUAUGAUGAAGAAGAUAAGAAAAAAUUAUCGUUAAAUGUCAAAGCUAAGAAUCUACUUUAUUGUGCACUAGAUAGAAAUGAAUUUAAUCGAAUUAGCACAUGUGAAUCGGCAUGAUGUUUGGCAUGCACUAGAAGUCACUUAUGUUGGCAUGAGCAAGGUUAAGGAAACAAAAAUAAAUUUGUUAGUUAAAGAAUUCGAAAAUUUCUUCAUGAAACAAGAUAAGCUUAUUGUUGAUAUGAUUACACGUUUUACCAAUAUUGUGAAAAGACUUAAAGGUUUUGAUCGUAAAUUUACUAACGAUGAACUUGUUAGCAAAAUGCUUAGGUUCUUAAUGGAGGAAUGUAGCCCGUUGAGGAUGUUGAUUGAGAAUACCAAGGAUAUAAAUACAUAUCCUUUGAAGGAGCUCUACGAUACAUUAAUAACCUAUAAACUCAAUAAUGCCGAGGUCAAGGAGAAAACAAGAAAAAGCAAGGAAGAAUCAAAGGAGCCCCUCAAAUGACAAAUUUCCUCAAAAUCAAAAAUUGAAGAAGGAACAUCAAAGGAAAAAUGAGCAAUGAAGGGCCUAACGAUUUAGUUCUUCUAGUCAAAAAAUGAAGAGGUCUUCGUAAUAAUCCAAGAUUUCAAAGGAGGAAAAAUGGUGAAGAAAGAAGCAAGAAGAUUAUUUGCUAUGAUUGUGAUAAUUCCGAUCACAAAAGAAUCAAGUGCCUGAACAAAAAGAAAAAUUUCAAGAAAAAAGCACUUCAAGCUACUUGUGCUUCAUGGCGAUCGAAGACUAGGUAAGCGUAAAUGAAAAAUGUUCUUAUGAUGAGUUAUCAAAUUCAUAUGAUGAAAUGUUUGAAAAUUUUGAAAAACUUGCCUUGAGUCACUCCAUUCUUAAAAAAAAGAAUUCUUUGUUAAAAGAUGAAAUAAAGAAAAUUUUGGAAAAACAAAAAGAAAAAGUUGAUCAUGAUUAUUAGUGAAGGAGAACAUUUCACUAAAAGAAAAAGUGGAAGAUUUAACGAAAAUUAUUCAUAAAUUCAUCGAGGGAAAGAAAAUUUUGAUUUAAUACUCAGUAGUCAGAAUGCGUUUUUGAUAAAGGGAAAAUUGGAUAUAAAAACUCUUUAAAACAAAAAUAUCUCAAAAAUAUGUUCAUUAAAACUUCAAACACUACAUGUAGUUUUUGUAAUAAAAGUGGACAUGUAGCAUUUAAUUGUCUAGCUAAAAGAAGCUAUCUUUUGAAAACAAGUAUAAGUGGAUUCGAGAGUUUACAAAAACUAACUACCAAGGACCCAAGUUUUCAUGGGUACCAAAAAUCAAAAAUUGAAUUGUUCUUUUAGGAACUAAAGAAAAUAAGAAACAAAUGGUUCUUAGAUAGCUGUUGUUCGAAACACAUGACUGGAGAUUGAUCCUUGCUAUCGAACUUCAAAAAUAAGGAUGGAAGCCACGUAACCUUCGGAGACAACACCAAAGGCAAAAUUAUUGGCAUUGGAAACAUCGGUAAUUGCUCAUCCUACCAAUUGAAAAUGUCUUACUAGUUGAUAACCUUAAACAUAAUUUACUAAGUAUUAGUUAAUUAUGUGAUAAAGGUUAUAAUAUAAAAUUUGAUUCUUCCAAAUGUCUUAUUGAGGAUGCUACACCAAAAGAUGUGAUUUUCGUAGAAAACUGAAGUAAAGAUGUUUAUAUUAUGAACAUUGAAUUUGAAAAUAAAUGAAAAUUGUUUACUUAGUGUGAAAGAAGAAUCAUGGCUAGGGCAUAGAUUAGAGCAUGUUAGCAUGAUCUUCUUUAGAAAAUUUCCAAAAAAUUAUUUUGUAAAAGGUUUACCAAAUUUAAAAUUUGAAAAAGAUAAAAUUUGUGAUGCUUGUCAAUUUGAAAAACAAGUAAAAAAUUCUUUCAAGCCUGAACUUCAUGUUUCAACUACUAAACCAUUACAACUUCUCCACAUAAAUCUUUUUGGACCUUUUGGGACAGCUAGCUUAAGUGGUAAACAUUACGCCUUUGUUAUAGUUAGCGACUUUUCAAGAUUUACUUGUGUUGUAUUUUUGAGUUUGAAAGAAUAAGCCUUAAAGCUUUUAAAUAUUUUUGUAAGAAAGUUGAAAAUGAAAGAAAAAAAAAAGGUUACUCUAUUACAAUUAUUAGAAGUGAUCAUGGUGGAGAAUUUGAUAAUGUUGGCUUUGAUGACUUUUGUAAUGAUCAUGAAUAUGAACAUAAUUUUUUGGCUCCUAGAACUCAAAAAAAUGGUGCAGUAAAAAGGAAGAAUCGUAUAUUGCAAAAAAUUGCUAGGACCAUGCUAAAUAAAAAUAAUUUGCCAAAAUAUUUUUGGGCCAAAGCCGUGAACACUGCUUGCUACAUCGUCAAUGGAGUUUUAGUAAGUAAAAACAAAACUAAAACUCCUUUCGAACUUUGGAAAAAUAGAAUUCCAAAUCUUAGUUAUUUUAAAGUUUUUGGAUGUAAAAUGCUUUAUUUUGAAUACAAAAGAUAAUUUGGGAAAAUUUGAUUCAAAAUCCGAUGUAAUAAUUUUGCCAGGAUAUUCAUCGACUAGCAAUGCAUAAAGAGUUUUUAACAAACGAACUCUAGUCGUUGAAGAAUUCAUGCAUGUUACUUUUGAUGAGACUAACUCUUUUGAUUGAGAGAAAGAUAGUGAUGACGAUAUAGGUUUGGAAGCUCCAUUUGAACAAAUGAAGAUUCAAAACCAAAGCAAUGAGGCACCAAAUGAAGAACAAAAGGAGGAAUCAAAUGAAGAAAAACAAACCGUGGCACAAAGUGAUUGCUCAUUACCAAAAGAAUGGAGAUUUGUUCCAUCUCAUCCUAAGGAGGUAUUAUCAUAGGUGAUCCAUCAAAAUGUAUCACUACUAAAACUUCUUACAAAAAUCAUCUCGGUAGUUGUGUAUUUAUUUCUCAAAUCAAAUCUAAAAAUUUCAAAGAAACCGAGUUUGAUGAGUUUUGGAUUCUAGUGAUGCAAGAAGAAUUAAAUCAAUUUGAAAAAAAAAACAUAUUUGGUACUUAGUCGCUAGACCAAACCAUCAAAUCACUAUUGGUACUAAAUGGAUUUUUAGAAACAAAAGAGAUAAAAAUGGAAUAAUUGUGCGUAACAAAGCUAGAUUGGUGACCCAAGGUUACAAUAAAAAAGACUGUAUUGAUUUUGAAGAAACAUUUGCACCCGUAACUAGACUAGAAUCCAUUCACUUGCUUAUUGCAUUUGCAUAUUAUAAAGAUUUUACACUUUAUCAAAUGAAUGUUAAAAGUACAUUUCUAAUUGAAUUUAUUCAAAAAGAAUUUUUUGUUGAGCAGCCUCUCAAUUUAAAGAUCAUAAGUAUUCGGAUCAUGUGUUUAAACUUAGAAAAGCUCUUUACAAUUUGAAACAAGCUCCAAGAGUUUGGUAUGAACGUUUGAGCAAAUUUUUUCUUUUAAAUGAUUUUUCAAUUGAAAAGCAGAUACUACAUUUUUUGUAAAAACUCAUAAGAAAGAUAUGCUUAUUGUUCAAAUUUAUGUUGAUGACAUUAUUUUUGGUACCACAAACAUCCAUCUUUGCAAAGCGUUUUCAAGUUGUAGUAACUAGACUAGAAUCCAUUCACUUGCUUAUUGCAUUUGCAUAUUAUAAAGAUUUUACACUUUAUCAAAUCAAUGUUAAAAGUACAUUUCUAAUUGAAUUUAUUCAAAAAGAAUUUUUUGUUGAGCAGCCUCUCAAUUUAAAGAUCAUAAGUAUUCGGAUCAUGUGUUUAAACUUAGAAAAGCUCUUUACAAUUUGAAACAAGCUCCAAGAGUUUGGUAUGAACGUUUGAGCAAAUUUUUUCUUUUAAAUGAUUUUUCAAUUGAAAAGCAGAUACUACAUUUUUUCUAAAAACUCAUAAGAAAGAUAUGCUUAUUGUUCAAAUUUAUGUUGAUGACAUUAUUUUUGGUACCACAAACAUCCAUCUUUGCAAAGCGUUUUCAAAUUGUAUGAGUAAAGAAUUUGAAAUGAGCAUGAUAGAACUAAAAUUCUUCAUUGGACUUCAAGUUAAACAAACAAAAGAUGAUAUUUUCAUAAAUCAAAAUAAGUACAUAUUAGACAUGCUUAAAAGAUUUGAUAUACAUGAUCUUAAGCUUAUGAACACACCCAUGAACACGUCUCUAAAGCUUGACAAAGAUGAGCAUUACACUCUGGUUGAGGUCACAAAAUAUUGAGGUAUGAUCAGAUCCUUUCUUUAUUUGACUACUAGUAGGCCUGAUAUUACGUUUAGUGUAUGCAUAUGUGUUAGAUUUCAAUCUAAUCCUAAGGAAACACAUUUACGUGUCGUAAAAAGAAUUUUUCGAUUUCUUAGUGGAACUAGAACCUUAGGACUUUGGUAUCCAAAAGAGACUCACAUUGAUCUAAUUAGUUAUUCGGAUGAUGAUUGGACCAGAUGUAAUGUUGAUCGUAAAAACACUAGCGAAAAUUGUCAAUUUCUAGGCUUUUGCACUUGUGUCUUCGUCUAGUAAGCAACAAAAUUCCAUUACACUAUCCACCACCGAGGCGGAAUACAUUUCGGUUGCUAGUUGUUGUGCACAAACACUUUGGAUGAAACCAACUCUUUGCGAUUAUUACUUAUCUUAUGCUCAUAGGCCUAUUUUGUGUGAUAACAUUAGUGCCAUCAAUCCCGUUUUGCAUUCACGAACUAAGCAUAUUGAAAUAUGACACCACUUUCUUAGAGAUCAUGCACAAAAGGGAGAUAUCAUGUUAGAAUUUGUAAAAACCAAGGACCAAUUAGCCGACAUCUUCACUAAACCUCUAGCACACAAUUGAUUUUCCCAUAUUCGAAGAGGUUUAGGAAUUACUGAUGAAAAUAAAGUGGAAUAAAUUCAAUCUUUCCAAUCACGUAUGUUUUACAAUUUUUUAAAAUAAUUUUUGAAUUACCCUACUUUAAAAAAAAUCCUUCAGACGAUAAAGUCUAGACAGUUCAACAUUGUCCGGAUUGACAGAGAGUUCAAACCAUUGAAUCUUUGUUGAUCCGGACAUCCAGAUCAUAUUCCAGACAUCCAGAUGAGAGGAAAAUCAGGUGUUCAUAAACACGAACAGCCUCUUCGUCUCUCAUUUUUUCUUCUCACCUUCCUUGAAUUUUUCUCAAUCUCCUCUCACCAUGUCAUUGACAUUGCUUAUCGGUCUACCUUCAAUUCCAAAUUGCCACAAGAUUAUAGGUUUCAAAAUCACAUUUUUUUCUCAAAAAUCAUUCAAUUUUGUGUAUAUAUCCCCAAAUAUCACUCCACUCGAACCUGUCAUUUAGUUUGGGUAUUCUUGCACAAUUCAUUCACUAAUUCAUAGGAUUUCAAAGGCCCCAUCACCACUCAUCAAGAUAUUUGAAACUCUUCUAAAAAAUUUGAAUUUUACUGGUGAAGAUUGAACCCCUCGAAUUCAAAAUUUGGGGCUUUUGAGUUUCUCCUUAAUUCUUCACAAUGUCGGGAUCUCAACAAGGAAGAAGGGCAAAAAGAAUUACGAGACAACCUCCUUCACCACCUUCGGAAGAAUAAAUGGACUUGGAGCCGGAGGGGCCACUGAAUCCUUUCGAAAAAUCACCCAUUUUAAUUGGUGAGAUUGUUGAUUUUGCUGAUUUUUCUAUAGAUAUUCCAGCAUUUCAAAUUAAAGAAUGUUUUGAACGUAUGGGAUGGGUAUCCAUGGCAACAAUGGAAGAGCAUGCAUACCUACACCUUAUGAAAGAAUUUUAUCAAAAGAUGCACGUUGCACCUCAUUUCGAUGAGAUUACAUGUUUAGUAAAAAAAUGUGUGCAUUACGAUUUCUAAGGCUUCAAUUCGUGAUAUUAUCGUGAAGUCACCGGGAAGGAUUUUGAGAAUAUUACAAAAUUGAGUGCGCAUCAAUUAAUUCUUCCAUGUAAAGUUUUAAAAAACAUUAUCGCCCAUAUUAUUUUUCCUCGUAAUGGUCACCGAGACUAAGUUAAUCACUUCGGUCUCUUUAUUAUGGAUUUACUUUUAGUUGGCCAUCGAAUUGAUUUUCCUACAAUUGCAUUAGGACUUAUGAAGCUUGUGCAUGCAUCACAACACGUUAAAACUUGACCUUAUGGGAUGCUUCUAACAAAAUUUUUUGAACACUUUAAUGUUUUUUCGAUGGAGAAGAUUUUGUUAAGUUACACCCUACCGAUACUAUCAACAUCCAAACACUAAAAAGAAUGAAGAUAGUAAAAGAACGAGGGCAAUGAGUAGCUCACACGAAAGGAUUCGAUCCUACCUUUGGUCCAUCUACUUUGCUUUUCGAAGAAGAAGUCAAAGACGAGCCUGAAGCACCUACUCCCGCUUCUGACAUUUUUAGCUCUAAUGCACCCCGUUCUUUUGGAAGGCACUUCAUAUUUACUGAGGAGCAGUAUAAUCUCCUUCAUAGGCGUAUUGGUUCCCCCACCUCGUCCAUCGACUUCUUUGUAGCCUACUUUUUCAGAUACAGGCAAAGCAAACCAUUAUCCAGGACCGACAGGCCGAAAUGCAAGAGUAACAAAAUGCAUUCUUCGCGAAUUUUUAUGCUCGCUUCCCAACUCCGACGCCCUAGUUUAUUGCUAUACUUUCAUUUGCUAGAUGUUACUUUAUUGUCCAACUAUAAAAUUCAAUUAUUGCGCUUUUGUGUUAUUCGGCUGCAUGGCAUAUUAUGUAUUGAAUGUCCUAUGGUUGACUUCUUUAUGACUUUCAUUUGUGCUAUUAUCUCUUUUUGCUUAUGCCAAAAGGGGAAGGAUAAAGUAGAUGAUUAUGCAAAGCAGGAGGAACAUUGUAAAGGGAAACUUGUAAAAUCUUAUGAACAUUGUAAAGGGGAAACUUAAAAUUUUUAUAUACAUGUAGAUAGGGGGCACUUAAGUGAAAUCAAUAGGGGGAAUAUAAUUGCUAUAUUCAAAUUUCAUGUUCCUUGCCCAAUUCAAUUUGUUUACUAUUUAUAUUGCAAAUUCUUUUGUUUGUCAUAAUCAAAAAGGGGAAAAUUGUUCACCUAAUGGUUGACUUCUCAUUUUGAUUAUAACAAAGAAAUUGCAUUUAAUUCUAACAAAUUGAAUUUGAGUGUUGAUAGUGAUUACUAUGAAAUCAACAAAGAAUGAAGAAAUGAGAAUCAAGAUCAAGAUUCAUGCAUAUAGUUAUGUAGGCAAAUUUCUGUAUCCAGUAUCUUUUCCGAUUUUCUUGAAAUUUGUUUUAUGUUUCUCUGAAAUUUUUAAAUAAGCUAUAAUGUCAUUUCUUGUAGGCAAAUUUUUCAGUCUGUUUUUUCUUCUGAUUUUCUUGAAAUGUCGUAUCAAUUCUUUCUGCACUGUGAAUGAUCUCACAAUUUGUGUUCUCUCUGGAGUUCUCCAUUAUGAUCUAACGAUAUAAGAAUCGUCCUAAUUCUAUCUGCUCUUCUUGUUAUGUUUUCAGGGCAUAUCAGGGUUGAUGUGUACAUGAUUUAUUUCAAUCUGGAGAUUAUUUUAGCUAAAUUUAAAAAGUUCAACAGAGGAAUUUCAUGGGCUGUAGCUAGUUUGAAAUUGAAUCAUCCAAUUUUUUCUGAUGAUAAUGCUAGCAUUCAUCUGCACACAGUUUUUAAGCAAAAUAAGCUAUAUUUCCAUCGUUAAACCUUUGAAAUGAAGAUAAGUUGCAUCCAAAAACAAAACCUGUAGAAGCAGAAGCUGAUGUUUUAUUAAUUAAUACCAUAAGCAUUAACUUUUCUUUACAAAGUAACCAUUUUUAGGUAAACAGUGCAUGAAAUCUGGUUAGUGUGAUUCUGCAGGAGCCAUGGCAUCGCCAGUACUCUCUUCUGGCAUAUUGGAUGCAGGUGAAUUCAUGUGUGCAUGGUGACUGAAGUACAUGGUGAAUCCAGGACAACCAUAGGGAUUGCCACAGUUCAUUGGUCGGCAGUGGUAAUUCGGCGGAGGAACCCAUGGUCCUUCUCCAUAUCCUGGUGGACUGCCUCCAUCAUUGCCCCCUGAACCGGAACCAAAUCCACCACCGAACCCAAAUCCACCACCAUUUCCUCCGACCGGGAUGCCAUAACCCGGAGCACCAACUCCUGGGAUACCAAAAUUUGGGACACCAAAACUUGGUACGCCUCCAACCCAGCCACCACCACCUCCUCCUCCGCCUCCAUUGCUAAUGCCCCCAUUAUUGCCAUUUCCACUUCCACUGCCACUCCCACUUCCAUAACCACCAGCAGAUCCAACUACCGGGGCACCACCAAAAGUCGGGGUGCUCACAAAACCGCCCCCGCCUCCCCCUCCACCUCCAUUACUUAAAACGUGGCCGUUCCAUGCAUGCUCAGUAUCAGUAAUGUCCUCCAUGCUGCGAACGAUGCGGUCUUGGUUGGUUCCAGCCUCAUUAGGAAGAAUUCUGUGUGCAGAACACAGGACCAAGCUUAGAAAUGCAAGGAGUGCAACAUGGGAGCAUUUUAAUGUAGCCAUUUCUUGAUAUUAUAAUUAAGUGAUUCGAAUGAUAUUUUCACUGUGAAUACAAAGCUUUAUAUAGUGAAAGGUCUGCUACAAAUUGCAUGGUUUUAUCAUUUAUGUUGGACAAAUUCAUAGAACAAGGAAGUGGUUGAGGAGAAGUGCAAAUGUGCAAGGAAUUGGGAUUACUUCACACAAUCUGAAUUGAAUAAUUAUUCAUCAAAUUGAGGAAAAUGAAAUUUGUGUGAAAACCAUAGCAUUUUGCUCCGUUUUCUGGCACUAUAUGCUUUUGUUAACUCCUAAACUGGAGAACAUACAUAAGACUGAGAAGACAUAUCGCCUGUUUAAAUUAAUUUUUGAUUUAGAACAUACAUGAGACUGAGAAUCUUCACUCCUAGAUAUAUGAUUUGUGGAGUCCUGAAUUAAUUUUUGAUUCUUGUACCUCAUUAACCUAUUCAAAUUUUGUGAUUGUGAUAUGCAUUUUGAGGAAGCAUUGAAUUGCUUAUAUUGAGUUAAGAAAAUUGUUCAAAGUCUAGCGAAGUAUCUAUUAUGCUUUAUUCGAGGACGAACAAAUGUUCAAGUUUGGGGGAGUUUGAUAAGGUUAAAAUUUACACUUAUUAAAGCCACCAAAAGUGACUUUUGUUAAUUUUAUUAUGAAAUUGAUACUUAAUUAUAUGUGUUUUUAUUAUAUUAGGGGAAAACUCAAGAUCGGAGAAAAUAUUGAUCAAGAUGGAUGUAAUUGAAUAAAAUCUGCAAUUUUGGGAUCAAAUUCCACGCUUUAGAAAUUGAAGGACUUGAAGUGAAGUAAAGUAAAGAAAGAUAUGAAUUAGCACAACUAAUUGGACUUAAGGACUAAAGUGCAUUACAUAGAAAAUUGAGACCUUGGGAAGCAAGCACAAAUUAGUUGGGCCUAGAAAAAGGGAAUGGGGGUUUCAUUUAAAAAGCCUAGUCAAACAAAACAUUAGUUUAAAAAAUCCACAAACUAAGUUCUUUGGGUAAAAGGCCUAAAGAUAUGGAAAAUGAAAAUAUAAUUUGUAAAUUACUAAAAUGACCUUACAAACAAAAAAGACAUUGCUGCCCUAAUUCCCAUUUCAAUUUCCAUUUAACCCUAAUUAAAUUCUACCUUCCUUCCAUUUGCUCUUCAAAAUCGGCUGUAGAGGUAUGUAAUUUGUUUUUUUGUCAUCAUCAUUUUUCUCUACUUAAUGAAACCUUAAACUCUACAUUCCAUUUUCCUUGAACACUCAUUUGGUUGAAGUAAGUAAUAAAAUCUUGCAAUAUCAUUGUUGGGCAUUUGGAGAAGAAGGGGGUGUUGUAAUUUUCAAUUUUUUUGUUAGUUUCUUUGUCCAUUUUUUGAAUAAUUUCUUCAUGUCGUUGUAUAUAUAUUUAUGAUUUUUAUUUGAGAACAAUGAUUUUGAAUUAAUUUUAUCAUUAGAUUAGAGUUUUGAUAUGGGUUGCUCUCAAACCCUUUUUCUCAUUUCUCAUCAUCUUUAUCAGUUAGAAUAAAAUGUAAGUUUGCAAAGGCAUGUUUGGCUAUUCUUUUUAUUAACUUACAUUUAAUUUUCGUCAGUACAUAACAACUUACAUGUUGUUUUUUGCAAUCCAUAACGACUUACAUAUCGUUAUCAGUACUGUACACUGUUUGAAAUGUGAUGAAAUUUUUAUAUUGAAUUAUAGUUAUGGACACCGUGAAUAUGGUAUGGAUAUCAGUUUGUUUUCCAGUUGAAUAUGAGUAGUCGAUUGAAUGUGUUUUAAAAUGAAAAUAUGCAGGGAAUGACAAAUAAAAACAACUCAUAUUCUUGUUGCGAAAAUUAUUUCUUAUAUGGAAUUAUAUGAUAAAGUCAAAGAGGUGUUGAACAUCAAUUCACAACUUUUUCGGAAUUUAAUUGGAAAAAUCGAAUGAUUAAAUAAUCUAUUCACAACUUCAAAUGGUUACGAGUACAGUCAUAAGAUAUCGGUGGAUUAUAUGUUUUUAUUCCCAAAUAAGAUGGAAUAAACCAAUACCUUGAAAUAGAAACCAAUACCUUGGCUUUGUUGGAGCAUACUUUUUUAUUAUUUCAUUUAUAUUUAUAAUGGAUAAUUGAUUUGGAAUUAUUUCCUGCAAAUUACAUAAUCAUCGUGUGUGUUAUCUUGCUCAUUUACUUGCUUUCAAUAUAAAGAUUCAGAAACUUGGAUGUUUACUUUGUGAUUUCGUACUGCAGCUCUCUUGAGAGACAUGCUUAAUCAACUUUACUCUAAGAGGAAUUGAACAUAGCAGGUCAAAUAUUAUGUCAGCGCUUCCAAUCCUCAACCCAAAGAAAAAUGGGAAACGUCGUUUUUUUUCCUUUUUCUUUAGGUGCUACUGCUGGUGACUUUUUUACAUAGAAAUAAUUGGUCCAGCAUUUUAAGCAAUUUAUUCCUUUAAUUUCAUCAAGAUGUAGGUCGAAAGUGUGUGUGUAUAUGUGUGUAGGAUAAAAACUAUAAUGUAAUGGCUGGCUUAUAUGCUAGGUGAACUUCUUGGUUUAUCAUCAUAAUUCAUAAUCCAAGUUCAUAAGUUUGUGACAGUGCUGAGAUUAUAAAUUAUCAAAAUUAUUCAAUGGAUCCAUAAAGACUAUAUUAAUCGACCGUUCAUUUUUCUUUUUAUAAUUUUUUUCCAAAACAUUCUUGCUUCUUGAAGUUCUCGAGUAAUAAUCGUCUGAGAUUAAGGUUGUAAUAUUUUCCUGACUUGUAACUUUAUAAUUUUGUGCUUAUUCAAAGCACAAGAUGAUUUAUUAAAUUUUGUAAUCAUUGUGCUAUUGAAAUGCUUUUGCACUAUUGAAAUGCAAACGACGUUCAUAUAGUUACAAUUGAUGUAAAUGCAAUCAAUCUAAUGACGAUAUAUAUUUUCUUCCUUCUGAAACAAAGUGUUUAAGAUUGUUGUGGUACAAAAAUGUAUUAAUUUUAAUUAUGAAAUUGAAGUCGUUCUUGAAGCACAAAACGAUAUAGAUGUCGUUCAAAUAAAAAAAAAUAUAGUGAAUAACAUAACGAUAUUGAAACCGUUCCUGUAAUAAAAAACGAUUUCUAUAUCGUUUCAGUAUGAAAUACACACUGCUUAACUUAUUUUGGUAAUGACAUCAAAGUCGUUAUGACUAUACAUAAACGAUAUGUAAGUCGUUCUAGCACAAAAAUGCAUUCAUUCUAAGAAUGAAAAGGAAGUCGUUCCUGAAAGUCAAAACGAUAUAGAUGUCUUUCCAAUAAAAAAGUGCACUGAACAACGUAACGAUAUUGAAGGCAUGACGGAUAGUUGUGGAUGGUCAAAUCUACUUUUAGCUAGAACGAUAUAAUUAUCGUUUUAUAUGAAAAGAAACGGUAUCUAUAUCGUUAUACUUGUAAUUUAAAUUGAAACGAUUUCAAACUAUUCAAAUUUGUACUAAAACGAUAUAAAUGUCGUUACUUUAUUUGUGAUUUUAUGCAUAACGAUAUCAAUAUCGUUUUAAUACAAGUUUGACGCCGUUGAUAUCAUUUUAGUUUAAAUCAUAACUAAAACUACACGCAUAUCGUUUCAGUUAAAAUAAAACGAUACUUAUAUCGUUUUUGCUAAAAAUAAUGAUUCGACCGUCCACGACCACCGAACAUACAUCUGACAUAUGUAGGAUGAUCAAAAUAGGUAAUCAAGUGGGUUCGAUCUCCCUUAAAAGAAACUAUGAGAACAUUUUUGUUCUCAUGAUUGUAUACNNNNNNNNNNNNNNNNNNNNNNNNNNNNNNNNNNNNNNNNNNNNNNNNNNNNNNNNNNNNNNNNNNNNNNNNNNNNNNNNNNNNNNNNNNNNNNNNNNNNNNNNNNNNNNNNNNNNNNNNNNNNNNNNNNNNNNNNNNNNNNNNNNNNNNNNNNNNNNNNNNNNNNNNNNNNNNNNNNNNNNNNNNNNNNNNNNNNNNNNNNNNNNNNNNNNNNNNNNNNNNNNNNNNNNNNNNNNNNNNNNNNNNNNNNNNNNNNNNNNNNNNNNNNNNNNNNNNNNNNNNNNNNNNNNNNNNNNNNNNNNNNNNNNNNNNNNNNNNNNNNNNNNNNNNNNNNNNNNNNNNNNNNNNNNNNNNNNNNNNNNNNNNNNNNNNNNNNNNNNNNNNNNNNNNNNNNNNNNNNNNNNNNNNNNNNNNNNNNNNNNNNNNNNNNNNNNNNNNNNNNNNNNNNNNNNNNNNNNNNNNNNNNNNNNNNNNNNNNNNNNNNNNNNNNNNNNNNNNNNNNNNNNNNNNNNNNNNNNNNNNNNNNNNNNNNNNNNNNNNNNNNNNNNNNNNNNNNNNNNNNNNNNNNNNNNNNNNNNNNNNNNNNNNNNNNNNNNNNNNNNNNNNNNNNNNNNNNNNNNNNNNNNNNNNNNNNNNNNNNNNNNNNNNNNNNNNNNNNNNNNNNNNNNNNNNNNNNNNNNNNNNNNNNNNNNNNNNNNNNNNNNNNNNNNNNNNNNNNNNNNNNNNNNNNNNNNNNNNNNNNNNNNNNNNNNNNNNNNNNNNNNNNNNNNNNNNNNNNNNNNNNNNNNNNNNNNNNNNNNNNNNNNNNNNNNNNNNNNNNNNNNNNNNNNNNNNNNNNNNNNNNNNNNNNNNNNNNNNNNNNNNNNNNNNNNNNNNNNNNNNNNNNNNNNNNNNNNNNNNNNNNNNNNNNNNNNNNNNNNNNNNNNNNNNNNNNNNNNNNNNNNNNNNNNNNNNNNNNNNNNNNNNNNNNNNNNNNNNNNNNNNNNNNNNNNNNNNNNNNNNNNNNNNNNNNNNNNNNNNNNNNNNNNNNNNNNNNNNNNNNNNNNNNNNNNNNNNNNNNNNNNNNNNNNNNNNNNNNNNNNNNNNNNNNNNNNNNNNNNNNNNNNNNNNNNNNNNNNNNNNNNNNNNNNNNNNNNNNNNNNNNNNNNNNNNNNNNNNNNNNNNNNNNNNNNNNNNNNNNNNNNNNNNNNNNNNNNNNNNNNNNNNNNNNNNNNNNNNNNNNNNNNNNNNNNNNNNNNNNNNNNNNNNNNNNNNNNNNNNNNNNNNNNNNNNNNNNNNNNNNNNNNNNNNNNNNNNNNNNNNNNNNNGAAUAGUUCUUAUUAAUUACAAGCUUUAAAAUGAGUACAAAUCGAUAUACUGCAUCGCUUUUUAUUAAAAUCUAAUUAUUGGACUUUAAAUAAGAUAUAAAUUUAAAAAAUAUUUUUUUCUCCAUUUUUUUUCCAAAAUAUAACGAUAAAUUUAUUUUAAAAAAUUUCGUGUGUUAUAAUAUGUGUCUAAUAAAUAAAUGACUCAAUAAUUAUUUUCGACUAGUUGUUAAGUUGUGGACAAUGUUAAAACUUUGGUUGCACUGGAGAUCAAUUACGAAAAAGAGAUGACCUGAAACUUAAAAAGAAGAGUUCGAAUUCUAAGGAGAAGAUGAUUUUGAAGAGGAAGAUUUUUUGAAUAUAAAGGAAGGGAAUGUUGUGUGUGUUAGAACAUGAAUGCAUAGUUAUUAGAGCCAACCCGAUGAUCAACUAAAAAAAAUUACCGGGUUAAUGGUUCAAUCGGUGGGUUAUUGUUAAAUUUUAAUUUUAAUUAAAUUUUAUUUUUGAAGUGAGAAUAAAACAAUUUUUUGAAAUGUAAUAUAUAUAUUUUGCUCAUAGGAAACAAAGAACCAUCAUUUGCCAUAAUGGUUGUGGAGUUAAAAUAUUUUCUUGCAUUCCAAGGUUCAAGUCAUGGCUCCAACAAAUUUAGAAAAAAACUCCAAUUUCUUCUUCAUUUUUGUUUUACAAGUUAAGGGUAAAGAAGUCUUUUGACACUUUUAAAUAAUUAAAACUCCUUUUAUUUUUAUAAGUUUGGUCAAAGGCCAAUUGAACAAAAUGCACAUUAAAGGGGCCUUCCCAACUCAUUGCCCCAAAGGGAAUGUGAAUUGAAGUCAAAUCCUAAUAGUAAUAGACUUCUACAGAGAGCUGGUGGCAGAUUAGUGGAAGAACGCCACCUAAACUGAUAUUAUAGCACCAGAGUAUUAGAUAGCAUUAUUCUUAAUCAAUUGGGGAAGAGUGAGAAAUCUUCUUUUUUGGACUAAAAAAAGUUGACGGCAAUUAAAAAAAAAUUUAAAAAGAAAAAAGCAAUAAACGAGAGGUACAGAUGGCAGACGCGAAAAAUUGGAAGAAAUAAUUCCAUAUUUUUGUAGAUAAAUUCAUCAAUUAUUGUGCAAGAAUUUUAAGAAUUAAUCACGUUUCAUCAAUUUGUCGGGAGAUUCAUAAUACUCAAGAAAGGAAAUGAAGAAAUAUUGGUGGGAUUCGAGAGGCAUGGAUAGCAGGCGCCGAAAGUUGGAAGAAAAAUUAGGAAAAAUAAUUCCAAAAUUUGUACACCAAUUUAUUGAUAAUUGUGCAAGAAUUUUGAGAAUUAAUCACGUUCCAUCAAUUUGCCGAGAGAUUCAUAAUAUGAAAGGAAGGAAACGAAGAAAUAUUAUUAGGAUUUGUUUGGUGAAGAUCAACAAUAGUUUGGAAUGAAUUUUAUUUUGUUUAUUGGAAUUAAACCCAAUGAUGUCGUUUAACUUUUAUUUGUUUUAUUUCAACGUUAUGAAUGAUUAAAAAUUUUUAUGUUAGGAUAAUGAUGUAGCUUAGGGUUUUUGACAUUUAUUCAUUUCCAAGAUUUCAUAUCACUUUAAUACGUGUUUAUUAUUUAAUAUUUAUUUAAUAAUUCAAUUGCAUGGACCAAUUUGAUUGAUUUAAAGGUAGUAUUGAGAACGAGAGGUGAUGUAUGAUUCUAGCUCGGGUAAUUGAUAAGUGUAUUUUCUACAUUUAUUUGAAUAUAAAAAUAUAGAUAUUUAAUAGUUCUUUUGAACAAUUAUAGCCUACUUUAUUGUAUAUUUUGUUUAUUAGAUGAAACUCGAUGAAUGGAAGUAAAAUGGAAAAAACGAAGUGAAAAUUGGUGAAAAAGAAUAAGAUCCAAAGUUUGAGGACUGAACAGCAAAAACACUCAUGAGUUGUAUCUGACCUCACAAUAAAGAUUUUAGAAUGCUAAAGGUCAAUUCAAUGCAAUUAGAAGUCAAAAUGACUAAAAUAUGAUCAAAAUAUUUUCAUAAAUAGAUUUUAUACAGCACAAGAACGUUCCAAAUUUUUAGCCGAACAUUCAGACCUAUUUUGGCCCAGUAAACGUUCAAAUUGGAAAAGAGCUACAUAUAGUAACACUGUAGCACUUUCAGUUAUCUUUACAACCCAAUUUGAAUCGACUUAAUUGGAUAUCGACAAAAAAGGUUAUAAAAAAAAAUACUUAAGGAUGCAUAAUGCUGAUUUUUUUACCCCAUGAUGGUGCCAAAGCGCCACCAAAUUGCAUAAUAUUAAAAGUGUAAAUACUCAAAAGUUAUGUCAGGCCUCACAAUGAAAAUUUUAGAAUGUUAGGGGUCAAUUCAAUGCAAUUAAAAGUCAAAAGGAGAAAAAUACGAUCAAAACAUUUUCACAAAUUGAUUUUCUACAGUACAAGGAUGUUCCAAAUUUUUAGCCAAAAAUUCAGACCCAUUUUUGACCUAGCAAACCUUCGAAUCAGAAAAGAGCUACUUAUAAUAAAACUGUAGCCCUUUGAGUUAUCUUUAUAAUUCAAUUUGAAUAAAAUUAAUCGGAUAUCAACAAAAAAGGUUAUAAUAAAAAUACUCAAGGAUGCGCAGUGCUGAUUUUUUUUAUCUAAAAGUUGGCUACAUCAUGGCGCCAAAGCGCUACCAAAUUGCGCAAUAUAAAGUUGUGGCGCUUAUCUGGGAUGCGGAUUUUGGCCUUUUUAAAGCACAUAAAACUCCAAAUUCGAUGAAAACAUGGAAGCGCUUAUAAAUACAAUAGAGGCAAUUGAAAGUAGUUUCACACAUUGAAAUACAUAAGAACGUAAUUUGCGAUUGAGAGAGCAAAAUCAAAUAAGAAAAACAAGAAAUCAAGAGCUAGGGCUUGGAAUCAAUAUUUGAGACGAGAUGAAUUUGAUGCAUGAUUCAUUCACUUCUCCACAUAUCCAUUCAAAAUUCGAUGAUGUACUUCAUUAUUGUUAAUUAUUUUUCUUCAUCUAUCAUAAAUAUCUACGCUUUUCAUAAGGGUAAACAAUGUAAUUUAUUGAGACCCUUUAUUCUUUUAUUCAAGAUUCAAGUUCUUUUAUUGUAUAUGUGUGGAUUUUUAUUAUGUAUUUAAUGCUUUGAAUUAUGAAUACUAAUUCAAUGAUUUUGUGAAUUUACAUAUCGAGAGGUGAGUUUUAGAUUUAAACCACAUAUUAAAAUAUAAAUAUUUAAUGUAACAUAUGGAGAUACCUAUACUAACUAUUGCGAUUGUUAUAUGAAUUUUUAGAACAAAUAGUGCAUUUAAUUAAGAUUGAUUACAUAGAGAUAUGUGAUCGAAUUAGUUAAAUAAACUCAAUGAGAACUCGAUAUGGAUAAAUUGAAUACAAUUGAAGAAUUCGAUUGAACACUAAACUAUAUUUAUGGAUCUUGAAUUAAGAUUUAAAGGUAAGCAAUAGAUGAAAUUGUUAUGCCAUAAUAUCAAUUCCAUAUUUGAAUUUUCGACGUACCUUUGUGUGCAUAUUACUAUUUCAAUUAAUUAGAAGUAGUUAGAAAAAUAAUCAACACAAUCACAAUUCAUGUUUGGUUUUGUCAAAAGAAAUAGUAAACUAAAUAUUGAAUUAUAGUUCUCGUGUGAACAAUAAUCUAGACUCAAAGGUCCGCUAUAUUACUUGUUAUGAUAUCAUACGCUUACGAUGGAAAAAUGCAAAGCAAUCAAUACAUAGGUGUUUCAGGAGAUCGAGAGAUAAUUAUAUAUUAUGCAUUCUGUAUAGAAUUCUUGUAGAUUAAAAUGUUCAUAUGUGUGUGAAUUUACAUAGAGAUAUAGUAAACCGGGCAUAUGAAUAAGAUUAGUGUUAGUUGAAAGAGAUCACGAGUUACAUUAGGUUAAUUUAAUUGUUAGCACAUAUAAAACGGGGUUGAGUGAAUUAAAAUUCGAUGAACAUUAAAACAACUUAAGUGAAAUAAAAAUUCCUAACUACCUAAUCUCAUAAGCUUCUUAGCUAUAUUUAAGGAGGUCAUCUUAGUUAUUUUAGUUAAGUUUAUUUACAAAACACAUCUUAAAUUGAUAAUUGUUUACUCGUUUGAUUUAGAUUGAAGCUACGUUUGUUCAAAACACAUCUCAUAUCUUGCUUGCAAUCACAAAAUCCAUGUGGUAUCAAAGCCCCAAUCCAUGAAUACUUUGUUUUAUGGCAUAAAGGAAAAAGUAUUGGAACUUUUUUUGAACUCUAGACUACAUAGAAAGCAUCUUCACUAUCACGGAUUAAUAUUCGGUAUUCUUCUGGCAACUUUAUGCAGUGUUGGAUCAAUAUCAAAUUUGAGUUAUCGUAUUUGUUUGAGUUAUUAACGUGUUGUUUGUCAGUUGUUGGUUGUUCAUUGGACUCUUUUAUGAUGGUGGGUACAAGGUAUGAUUCGCUUCAAUCACUUAUAAGUAUGAAUAUUCAUAUAACACAUGUAUUUUCAAUAGACGAGAACGAGGUGGCAGUGAGGACUUGACUCCAAGCAAGGCAAUAGAAGCCGACUCACUGAAGUUGAAGUGACAAAGAUAUAGACUUUUUAGGCUCUAACAGUGAGGCUCUGCUCAAGGUGGCGGUAGAGAUAUUUGAUAAGUGCGUUUUACACAUUUAUUUUGACUAAAAAAAUGGACAAUUGUUGAUGAAUAUGUUGAAAUAUGGCUUGAUUUUAUAUAAAUUAUGUUUUGUAUGACAACAUUGAUGAAUAUGGCGAAAACUAGGAAAAAUAAGCGAAAAAGAACCAAAAUUGAAGAAAACCAAAGUUCAGGGACCAAAGUGUAAAUAGUUGAAAGAUGAUCCGAAAGCAUAAAUGAGAAUGUGAAAGAGCAAAGACCAAAUUGGUGAAGACAUGAAGUGUCGGAAGAAGAAAAAAUGAUAAAAGAGGUUAAGAAACAAGAAAACGGAGUUCGAGGACUAAAAUGCAACUUUUGGAAGUUUGCCAAUACUAUGUAGUCGCAUAGAAGGAUUCUCCAUGUAGUUGCCUGCCUAUUUUCAGAGACUUGAAGGCUUGAUUUUUAAUGAACUAUGCUAUAGCAUUGAAUUGUACUUCGUUAUAAAUCUGGUUUCCUUAUAUGAUUUAAAUUCGUAUGGAAACAAAUCUUUGGACAUCUUUUAAAACCCAAAAGCUGUCCAAAAGUGUUGAUUACACAUUCUAACAUAUUCAUAGGGUUUUAGAGCAUAGAAGGAGGCAAGGAACGCAAAAAUUGAUUUGAAGACCCAAUGAUUCAAUUGAAGAUUUAAAUUUGUGAUGUUGUUUCUUUAAUACUCUUUUGUUUUCUUCUUUCUAACAUGUCAGGCUAGAUUUAUUCGUACUAGAAGAACAAUAAAAGAAUAGCAUGACUUUUUAAUCUUUAAUUUUACAUAGUUGAUCUCAAAAACAUGUUUUGAAUAUUGAAUGGUUUAUAUGAAUUUCUUUUUUUCACGAUUAUUAUGCACGGUAAUUGUGUGAAUAUGUUGGCUUAUUUUAUGCAUUAGAAAAAAGGAAAAUACACUCGACAUGGUAUAAAUCAUCAUACAGUCCGAUAAAGGAUAUAGAUCUAUCGCUAUGUCUUAGAUGAAUCGUUAAGUGUUCAUAAAAAUUCAUGCAUUCUUGUAUGUUAGCAUCCAUCAUAGAGAUAUAAUUGGAUCAUAUAUGAGAAUAUAUUUAAUAUUACUCGAGAGAAAUUGUUGAAUAUAAUAGGAACAUUGAUUCUUUUUUUUUUUUUUUUUUGGAUAUCCAAGUAUCCCAGCAUACACUAGACUAAAUCCUGGACCCUCAAGAUCCUUGCCCCUAGAACCUUGAAGGGGGUAAAUCACGUGUUAUGCCUCAACUGGAUCACAGGUUCCCCCCAUCGCCUGUACACUUCUGCGCACAAGAGAUCCUCCUCCAAAGUGAUUGUUCCAUACCAAAUAAAUCUGGCUGCAGGUUCCCACCAAAAUUCGAACCUCCACCCUGCCGCUGGAAGCAAGACAAAUGUUGAUUGAUCCACAGAACAUUGAUUCUUCAAUAUACAAUAUGUUGUCAAAGUGUAAAACUAAGACUAAAAAGAGUUAUUACAUGGGAAUUCAUGAUCCUGGUACCUGUGUCAUUCAUCAAAUACAACAAUUUGCAUUAAACAUAAUUUGUAUUUAGUUUAGUUAAUUCUUAUUACUCUUGUUUCGGUUAAAAUCGCGGUAAUAAAAGUCAAACUAAAUCAAUCUCUGUGGGAUCAUAUUUGGACUCAAAAUUUACUUUAUUAUUUGUUAACGAAUCGUAUACUUACGAUGAUUUAAAUCAAAAUAUAUUUUCGCAGAACAAUGCUGCCUUCCGAAAUAGCCAAAGCUGCCACUGACUUCAACAAGCCGGACUACGUCACUCAGCGUGAUGCCGUUAACCUACUCGAGACACAGGUGGGCAAGGCAAUUUGUGUAACGUAGAGACUAUUCCUCUGGGAGUUGUUUUUGACAAUUGUUUUGUUUUAACAAGGAUAGGACAUCACAACACUUUCCACAAGAUAAAAGAAAUUGCGAGUUUGGGACAGAAUACGAGUAAAUAAGUGAUAAAGAAAUUUUGAAACUCUUGCUGGUUCCUAACAGACGUUAUUCUCACGGAACCUCUGUAUGAAUCAGUUGUGCAAUGUGUACAACUGGGGUUGACAAUGGGAGGGAGGCCCAUACUGAAUAAAAAAAUCGUGGACCCCCCUCUUGCGAGUAUAUUGUCAGCAGUAGUUGUCAACCGCGGUUGUACAAGAAAAUAAUUCCUGUAUGAAUAGUACGCUUCCACUCGUGAAAGAUACAAUAUUGACCAUCUGAUCCAACUGACUGAAUGGUCUUUAACAGUAAAUACUUUCCCCUUUCGUUUCUUACAGAGAAUGUGGUAAAUUGUGUGCUACCGAUGAAUUUGUUUAACAUUGGAUCUAGAUCAGAGCAUAAAAAUGAAGAACAAUGGAUAAGAAAUUACUGCAGAGAAGUAGAUAAGAUCAUAUAUACACUAUUGCAUCAAUAUAUAACUAGUUAUACACAUGGGAUCAAGAAAGGUUAGCGAAAACUCCUAAUAUAAAACUAAAAUAGAACAAGGCACAAAAGGAACCAACACAAGAGAAAAAUCGAAACUCUGCCGAGAGAUUUGUUAGCCUGUAAUUGCUGCCUUCUUAAUCCAGGAGAACUACUUCCCACCAGGUGGUACGAGUUAGGAUACCAGUAUAAACUCUCUGAAUUGCCAAAAACUCUGGCAUAAACCAUCUCUCCAAACAUCCCUAUCGUGGGAUGUGAAAGAUCAAUUGGAGACGAAGUAUCUCCUUCUACGUUACUGGAAUAAGGAUCAGAUAAAUUACGUCGAUUUUGAUGAUCGGGAUCUUGUAUGGCACGAGCUGUUGGCCUAGGCGGUAUAUUCUUGAUCUUGUGUUCGGUUUCCGAGAGGCAAUUGCCCCGGCCAUAGAGAGGGACCAUCGUUUUUUCCGAUAUUUCGGUUUUGCAAACUGGGCAUCUGGGUAGGUUCUUGUCUGAAUCAAGGGAAGCAAUCUGAAACCAGUUGUAGAUGCAGGGCCAACAGUAGAGAUGGCCACAAAGGGUAACUACAGGAUCAGACACAAAUUCCAAACAGAUGCUGCAAUCAAAGUUAGGAGAAGUCCUUUCAGAGUCGGGAAUGGAUUUCCAUUCCUGCAUAAAAUAUUGCUCAAAUGCCAUGUUUCUUUUGAUCUCUGAGAAGAAAAGAUAUUAAGCAAAAUAUGAUGGUACUUGCUUAUCAAGACGGCUAGAUUCUUGAUUGUUUCCUGUCGAUCAACAGAGUUACUGGCACAAACAACAGAUUGAUUCUAUGGAAGUACUAUUUGUGAUUAUUCAACAAAUACUUGGAACAUGAUAGAUUUAGAAUCUGUGUGCGCGAUGGAGAGAUAUUUGUGCAAGAGUAGAUUAGGUCAGGUGGGAAAAUAAACGUUGAGAUGGUUUUAUUUUAUAGAUGGGGCGCAUAAAAAUUCGAACCAUGUUACGUGUACUCGAUUUUUUAUUAGUUGAUGAAGAAAAACACAAAAAAUAGAUUGAAUUAAAUGCCGUGUUGAAAUAGAUAUGUCUGUGAAGAUGCGGACUACAUGCGACCCUAUAAAGCUUCACUGUUCCUGGUGGGCACUUGGCAGCAGGAUAUUUUUUCCCUCUACAUAUGGUUUUGGCCUAAAAGUUGGGUAAAUUGGCAGGCCUGUCGAGUGGGUGAUGCAGUAUGUGCUUGUGGGCCAACCUUGCUAUAUAAAGGGCUCGUUUGAGACACAUUAUUUCAAAAAAUAUAUAUUUUUAAACAGUGAUUUGACAUCAUUUCAACUACACAUUUUUCAAUAAAAUAAUAUUACACACAAAUCAAAAACUUUUCCUUAUUUUUUAACCAUACAUUUCUCAUCAAUACACUAUUCAAAAAUGUAUUAUUACCAAAAUAAUGUGGCCUAAACACCCCCAAAUAUUAUAAACAUUCGGGUCCUUGACUCAUCUAAAUUUUAUAUAUUUGGUCCCACGUCAUCAAAGACGUGGAUAGCAAUUUUGGUUGCACAUCUUUAAAAGAGUUAAAGACUCGGAACCUCACUUUUAAAGACAUGGAAACUCAUAACAAAACUAUAUAAAAGUUAGAGUUCAAUUCUAAUUUUUCUUACUAUUUUCAUAUAUAAUUUUACCAGUAUUCUAAACAAUAUAAAACGUUGGUCGAUAGUAAGACCAAGAUUCAAACUUUUAGGAGCUUUAACAAGCUUUGACGUAAAAUUAAGUAUAGAUAGAUGACAGCCCCCCAGGGCACAUUCGAGUUGGUGGAUCAAUCACAUUUGGCGCGCUCGCAACCUCAGCGUGGAACCUUUGAUCCAAUAAAGGGGCAAUUUAUUGGUGGAUUAAUCACUAUGGAGGAAAGCUCUCUUGAGGCCAGGAGUUUAGAUCGGGUGGGAACCUGUGAUCCAACAAGAGCACAACCUACGGUUUAUCUCCGCUAGUCACUGAGGGGCCGGUGGCUAGGGGUCCAGGAUUUAGUCUGGCGAAGCUGGGACACCUGGGUAUAAAAAUAAAAAAAUAUAAAAAAAAAAAAGUAUAGAUAGAUGACAAGACCAAAUGAGCUCCUUAGAAUACUAUUUUACCAUUAACAUAUAAUAAAAAAAUAGAACCUAGAUUACGAAUUUAUUCAAUUAUUUAAAAAUCACUUAAUUUUAGGUUACUAUCAUCUGUAAUUCAAAAUUUUCAUAUGAUUAGUGGUGAACAGGGAUGUCAAUUAGUCGAAUCAAGCCGGCUCGUGAGUCAAAAUUCGAGGCUCGAGUUGAAUUCAAAUAAAAUUAAGUCAAGUUUUUUUUGCUCGAGCUGAACUGAGCUAAAGUUUAGCCAAAAAUUCGAGGCUCGACUCGAGUUUUGAACUCGGGUCUUAUCGAGCUUAGUUGGGUUGGCUUGAUUUUUAUUAUUAUUAUUGUAAUACAUAGGCUGCCGUGUGCUGCCUAUUUAAAGAUAGUUUGCCCUUUCUUUCUCGAGCCAGUCCAACGAGUUAAAUUACCAUUCCUAGUGAUGAAUACAAGAUAUUAAAACUUUAAUUUGUCAUUGUAUAAAGUGUAAAUUGAUCGCACUGGUCAAAUUUUACAUUUGAAUGUUAUGAAUUUAUCAUUACUAAAUCUCGAUAAAGAAACUUCAUCUUCUAGUGUAAAAGUAGAAGACAGAAAAGUGAAAUGGAUUUGCACAAAUCAAUAGUAGCUUUCAUUUAAAUAAAAGCAAUCAACAGUGUCGGCCUUUGGACACAUUUUGUCAAUUUUUCAAAUGAUGUUAACAUAUUCCACGCUGAAUGACUUUUUAUUGCCUUCUAGAUUCACAUUACCGACAAUUCAUCAAGCUGCUCUUCUAGAUUAAUUAAUUAUUACAUCUUAUUUCAUAUCCACCUAGAAAGAGAAAUGACUCCUGCACAGAUCAUGUGCUGUGCUCUAUUGCACAGGGUUUGUACAGAGCAUCUCACAUGGAGGAUGGACACCACAUGUGUGUGUCUGUACAGGCUCCGUGCAGCAUUUCUCACCCAGAAAUAGUAAAAGAAAAGAAUAUUUUAGUAAGAUAAUGUUUGGUAUGGAUUUUAAUCCAAUUAACAUUAAUUUUUUAUCGUUAUUUCACUAUUCUAGCCAUUAUUUUUGAAUUUUUUUCUUACAGGUACAACCCACUUUAUCUCUAACGGUCAAAAAAUCAAUUAACAAAAUCCCCACCAAACAAGCACUAAAUAUUGUGAUUCCCAUUCUAAAAUUGAAAAUCGUGAAUUAUUAACUAACUGAAAAUUUUAUUUAUACUUGAAAUAUGAAUUUGUCACUUGAUGGGUGAAUAACUUCAUAGCGUAUCUUUAAAAAACUCUAUAAGAUAUAAUCUAUUUUAAAGAGUUAAUAGUUAAAAUAAGCUGCAGGAACUCAAAAUUUUAACUUUCAAAAUAGAACGUGUUCGUCUCUCCAUUCUUACUUUAUGAUUAUUUCGUUUAACAAGAUAAAAAUUAUAAUACUCCAUAUAAAUAGUAUAUUAAUUAAAGGAUAAGAAGAAAUUAUUAAAUAUUUCUUGAAAAAAUAAAAUGAAGAUUCCAAUAAAGAGAAUUGUUACAAAUAUUUAAAAAAAAAAAUACUUACUAAAUUGUUCUCUAAUUAUUCGUGAUAACAACUCCAAUGUCACAAUGUGCAAUGUUUUACGUGUGACAAACAAAAUGGGAAGCAAGAAAAGAGCACUUUCAAUGGGCUGUGAAUUGCACUAAUUUUAAGUUAUUUAUCGUAGAAAAAGAAUAAAGAUAAAUAAUAAAAAAUUAAAUGAGCAUAUAAUUAUAAAAAUGAAUUAAUCGAAAAAUGUCUAACGUGCUCUCCACAAGGUGGAAGGUGUGCUGACGAUGUUCACAUUUUUAUUUAUAUAUUUAUGUUUUUGCCAUGUAUUUAUUUUGGUAUGAAAUGACAUGCUUAUUGUAGCAAUCCAUAUAUUGAAGAUAUUAAUGCGGUAGUUAUAGCCUUUAUGACAUUUCUAUGUAUAAUUAAUAAUUUUAGGCGAAGAGGGCAACACUAUUAUAUCAUAUAAACUAAUUUCUUCUAGAAGCCAAGAAAUAAUAAAUAACUUUAAUUGACACAUGGACCAUAGCUAAUUUCAUAAUUCAAUCUAGAAAAAAUCCAUACAUGUGCAAGUAGUACGGUGCAUUUACCGUCAUUUUUGGGCUCAAAACCAAUGAAAAAUUGUCAAGUGUCAAUAUAUAAAAAUUCCGUCAAAUAUUUUCUGUACUUGUAGUAUAACUCUUCAAUCUAUUGCCUAGGCAUGAUAAAUCUAUCUGUUGAAAUUAAUUUAAUUUUUUUUUUUAAAUUUUUGCGGAGCUUUCACCGACACGAUUGUUGCCAAUUAUAAUUUCUAGUUGAUAUCAGAAGUUGAGUAAGAAAAGUUUGUACAUCUACUCUUACGAAUUAUAUAACUAUUUAUUCGGUGAAGCCUCCUAAGUUCAAUAAUGCAUAGCAUAGCAAGGAAGGAUGGACAUUUUUUGUAGGAUGGGGAUAUGUAAUAUCCAAUUUAGUCCUUGUGUGGAAUAGAUUAAAUUUUGAUUUUAAUUCNNNNNNNNNNNNNNNNNNNNNNNNNNNNNNNNNNNNNNNNNNNNNNNNNNNNNNNNNNNNNNNNNNNNNNNNNNNNNNNNNNNNNNNNNNNNNNNNNNNNNNNNNNNNNNNNNNNNNNNNNNNNNNNNNNNNNNNNNNNNNNNNNNNNNNNNNNNNNNNNNNNNNNNNNNNNNNNNNNNNNNNNNNNNNNNNNNNNNNNNNNNNNNNNNNNNNNNNNNNNNNNNNNNNNNNNNNNNNNNNNNNNNNNNNNNNNNNNNNNNNNNNNNNNNNNNNNCAACGUAAAGUCGGAAUCAAAGAUAUCACGAAGCUUUGAACCAAUUAUUCCAUGUGACAAUAUCGGUAAGAACACACACAUGAGUACCACGUGUUCUCAAGUUCCUCAUGACUCACUUAGCGCUAUUAUGGUCUUGCGAUAAUCCUUUUCAACAAUCUUUUAAGAAAGAUGAGGUGGCACCACCUAAAAUUUCUUUUAGGUGAAAUUCUUUCAAUAUUUUUGUUACUUUUAGAGGUAUUUAUGUUUUAGCACUGAAUUUCAUUAAAAGUUUAAAGCUCAACCCUCAUUUUAGUAACAUCCAACUUUAUUUUAACUAGGAUAGGGUCAUCAUGGAUUUAAAUAAUGCUGCAACUAUUUACAUAUCGAAUAACUUGUUGUUAUCCUUUGAACCCAUUGAUUACUUUUUGAGUAAUGACAGGUAGGGUUUCCAUCAUUGGUAGACCUUUUUAAUUAAGGAGUUCUAACACCAUCUUACUCAAAGUAGACACCACUAAAUCUCUAUCUAGAGGUUUAGUAAAAGGAUCUACUAAAUUUUAAUUGACUUACAUAAUUUAGGGAAAUUAUUUCAUCCUUGAUUAAUUUCCUUAUGUGACUAUGUGUAAGACUCAUAUGUCUAGACUUUCCAAUGUCUACCUCAUUUUACGCUUUUACUAAUGUGACUUGACUAUCACACAUGAUAGGUAUUGAAGACAUAUUCUUCAAUCCCAAAUGGAGCUUAUAGAAGAGAUCUUUAAGUCACUCGGCCUCUUUCCAGGUUUCCAAUAGUGCAAAUUUAGAUUCCAUGGUCGAGUGUGCAUGCUUGUUUUUUUUUUUUUUUACUUCAAAGAAACAACACCUUCUCUUAAAGUGAACAAGCAACCCGAGGUGAGUUUACUUUCACACAUACUAGAUAUCCAACUAGUAUUGGUAAAUCUUUCCAAUACCGUCAGGAAUUUAGUAUAUUGCAGCUUAAGUUCUUGGUUUUCUUUAAGUAUCCAUGAACUCUCUCAAUGGCCUUCCAAUGAUCAUUACUUGGAUUUCUAAUAAACCUACUAUACUAGUCUUUGUGACUUUUAUAUCUAAAAUAGUAUCCACCUGUCCAAGAUCCUUCAUCUUGAAUUUAGAAGAUAGAAAAAUGUUCAUUUCUUCUAUAACGUUCAUGUGAUUACUUAUAAUCAACAUGUCAUCAACAUAUAAGCAUAUAAAUAUUACAUAAUCAUCACACACUUUAGUGUAUAAACAUCUAUCUACGCUAUUAUGUUUAAAUAUGAAUGAUAUUAUUAUUAAGUCAAACUUUUCAUGCCAUUUCUUAGGUGUCUACUUCAAACUGUAUAAUGAUUUUACUAACUUAUGUUCAUUUCCAGGUAGAGCAAACCCUCAGGUUGUUCCAUAUAGACCUUCUCAUUGAGAUCCCCAUUUAAGAAUGCCUUCUUGACAUCCAUUUGAGGAACACGCAAGUUAUGUAUCGAAGCUAAAGCAAAUAAUAUGCUAAUCGAUUAUAUUCUAUCACCAGUGCAUAACUGUCAAAAUAGUCUAUUCAUUCCUUCUGUCGACAACCUUUGGCUACCAAUUUAGCCUUGAAAGUAUUUAGAGUGCCGACAACAUUAUAUUUUCUUCUAAAUACCUAUCUACAUUGAAUAGGUUUGGAUCUCGGUGAUAAAUCAACAAGUUUCCAAAUAUUAUUAAACAUUAUCGAAUCCAUUUCAUCCUUAAUUGCAUCUUUUCUGAAAAUGUUAUCACGAGAAACCAUAACUUCUUUAUAAGUUUCACAUACAGUAUAUGAUUUGGCAAUAAAUACGAUGGACAUUAUGAUCCUCUGUUGCCUCUUCCUAGGUUAAAGCAAAGACUUUGGCUUUCACUUUUUUACCUUGCUCAUUGCAAAAUGACCUUCUUGGCCACAUUGAUAGCACACAUUUUCCCAAAUAAGCGCUUUCCUCCAUGUGCCUUGUUUCAUUUAGGACAUCGUGGAGUAACUUUAUAUGGUUUGCUUGAUCCUGAUCUUGAUCUUGUAUUGGCCUUCUUAAAUUGUCUAAAUCCUUUCCCCUUAUUCGAUCCAUUCUACUUUCGUUUCACAUAUGAUUCAUUAUUUUUCUCUUUUAUCUUAUCCCUUUUUUAGACGAUUAGAAAUUAAUUGAGCUUGCUUAAGCACUUCGCUAUAGGUAGUCGUAUGGUGAGAUGCCAUGAUUCCUCCAAUCUCUGGACGCAAACCUAGUUCAAACCUCCUAGCCUUUUUUGGUUUGGUAUCCACAAGGUGUGUAACAUACCUAAAAAGUUGUUCAAACUUUCUUUCAUAUUCAUCAAGUGACAUAUUUGCUUAUUUCAACUGUAGGAACUUUGCCUCUUUCCGAUCCCUCAGUGAUUGGGGAAAGUAUUUUGUCAUUAAUUCUUUUAACUGCGUUGAAGUCAUAGCGCGUUGUUGUGCUUUAGUUCUGGUGCAUGAUGUAGACUCCCACCAGUGGCAUGCUGCUCCAACCAGCAUAAAUUCAGCACAUGAUACCUUCCGUGCGUCAGUACAUGCCAUGUGUUUAUAGAUUUGUUCAAGCCCUCUCAACCACUUCUUGAAUGCCAAAGGGUUUGUUUUGCCAUCAAAAGAAUGAGAUUUGAAACGGAAAAAUUACUCUGUAAUUGAACUUGUAUUGUUGGCAUUUGUCGGUCCAUUUUGAGGAGGUGCUGUUGCGAAGGCUUGAUUCCUACCAAGGUCAUGUACCGCCCUCAUCAAAUCCAUAAAUAUAGCUGCUUGGUCUUGUUGUCUUACCAUUUCUUUUAAAUCAACAAAAUAAAUUUGUCUUAAAAAUGUUAUACAACAAAAUAGCUCAAUAUAUUCAAAGGAAAUUAAAAUUUUUAUUAAGAUACUCCCUUAAAUUAGGAUAUACAAUAGUUCGACAAAUUUUUAAUAACAUAAAGGAAAAAUAUCACAAUACUACUAAGGAAAUGGAAUCUAAGUUUCUAAUCCCUAUAAAUCCUAUGAAUCUUCUUUAAUGGAGCUUCAUAUUCGGAGAAAUCUUUUGCCUCCGGCCGAACUCUAUGUGCAUCUCGAUUAUUGGCUUAGGUUCAUGCUCGUGAUCAUUCUCUAAUUCCAACCCAAAGUCAUCCCCAUGCUCCUAUUCAAAAUCUUCCUCUGGAUUUGAUUCAGCCUGAGCUUUUAGUUUGGGCUCAAGCUCAGCCUCAUCUUCGAGCUCAUUUACUAUCUCUGGUUGCGAUUUUAAGCUUUCACUCCACCUAUCUAGAAAGGUUUGACAAUAUAUGUCGAACUCAAUUGUGUUUGGGUGCUCUAGAAGGUUAUAUCUUAAAGGAAUAGGUCUACCUUUAUAACUUUUCGUCAACCUCUAACUUAAUAGCCUCAAUUUUUUGAUUUGUACAAAAAGUUCUUCCUGGAGAGGUGCUAACCUGUAACACAUUAUCCAUUUUCAUACAUGAGAGCUAGACAUAGCCACAAAAGAUACAAAGAUAGAAGAAUGUGUAGCCCCAGAGUAAAAAAAAACAUAAACAGUACAUCAAAAAAUAAUAAAAUAUCUACCAUCACAUUUGGAUCCUAUUCAGCCUCCUGUUGAUUCAAUGCAAAAAUUUGGGCCUUCCCUUUUUUAUUUUUGUCUUGGUCAUCAUCCUUCUUCUAUAGAGGCUCCCUAUAAUUCAAAGCAAUGCGUCCCGACUUACCACACCGAAAACAUAUAUUUUUUUCCUAUAUAAGCGUUCUCAUGUGAUGAGUUUAUUAUACUUAAAAAUGGUGUAAUACUCCCAUUCGCCCAACAAAAGAACUUCUUUGAUUGGGCUCUAAUUCUGCUAGUAAUGUCUUUCCUUGUUAUAAUCAUUCCACUUUAUUUUUUCAAAUAACUUUUUGAUCCAUUGGACAUCUCUCUCAAAUACAGUCUAAAAUAGCAUCAGCCCUUUCCAACAUUUCAUGGUGUGAUGUGAAACAAUGAGACAUGAUAAUUAUACUAAUUUUUUAGCGUGGUCCAUGUUCGAACCUCCUGACGUUCUUAACUUCUGUAUCCACUAAUUACAAGGCAUACCUGGAAAGCUGCUCAAACUUUCUCUCGUAAUCAAUAAGUGACAUGUUUUCCUAUCUGAGCUGUAGAAACUCUAAUUCCUUGAAGUCUCUUGAAUCCUGUGGAAAGUACUUUGCCAUCACCUCAUCUUUAAACUGUACACAAGUUAGAUUAAGCCGCUAUUCUUCGAUCCUAGUAUGUGAGGUAGAUUUCCACUAGUGACUAGCCGAUACAAGCGCAUUUGUACAAGUAAUGCAUCGAAAGAAGUACGCAAGAUCUCUAAUCCAUUCCUCAACAGCCAAUGGGUUAAAACCACCCUCAAAAGUGGGAAGCCUGUAUCUACGGAACUACACAAUACCUGAGAUAACUCCAUUGACAAAAGGAGAUGUAUUCUGAAGUGUCAGUGCAUUUUGUGGUGGCGAUGCUUAACUUUGAUUGUUCAAUUCUUAUACUUCUUGUAGUAAGUCGUGCAUCAAUUUUGUGUUGGUAGGUAGUGCUAUUUCCUUUAGAUAAAAAAAAAUGUCAUCCACGUCAAUCUUCUUAUCAUGGUAACAUAACGUAUUUUAUAUUCGAGUAUGCAUUAAUAUGGGCAAGGAAAUCAUACUUUACUUGAGAUAUAAAAAUAAGCAUAACAAGAAAAAAUGUACAUCAUGAAAUCUAUAAGUAGGCAAUAGAAAAUGUAACGUUACACAAAAGAUUUGAAUGGUCAUUUCUUUCUUCAUCCAUAACAUAUCUUAUAAUUGUCGGAGUGUGGUUGUUGAGUGCCAAGGAUCUUUCAUCUCAUCACACGUUUAUGAACUUUAUAAAAAUUUAUAUCGUACUUCAGACUCAUAAAUCUAAAAAGAAAAUAAUUAAUUAUUACUCCAUUCAUCCCAUAAAAAUAGUCCUAUUUCAUUUUUUAAACAAAUUAAGAAAAUUUAACUUACUGAAAUAAUAAAUUUUACUAUCAUUUUACCUAAUAUACUUUUGGAUUAAUGCAAUCAAUAAUCAAGAACAUUAAAUAGGAGUAUUAGAAAACUAAUAUAUUAACUACACUCCCAAAUAAAAAAAUGGGACUACAAUUUAGGACGGACAAAAAGGAAAAACGGGACUAUCUUUAUGAGACAGAAGGAGCAACAUACAAUACGAAUAGUGAGGACUAAACACAGAGACAUUUAUGGCACGUCAUAUAUAUAUAUAUAUAUAUAUGACUGUUCAACUUGAACAAUGUAGGGAACUAUUCACUUUGACAAGGCAGAUGACAUAAAUCACCCACAAAGUUAUCCAUGUGCUCAUUCAUCCUUAAACAGAAAAGUUAGAUGAGAUGACCAUGUUUGAUGAGGUUAUUACAUAUACCAACUGAAUCUGCUAUAAAUCAUACUGUCAACGAAAAUCAUAUGACUGGAGUGCAAAAGCUUGCAACCAAUCCCAUCUGUAAAUAAUGUCAACUAAUCUUAGCCACCACAUAUAAAAAUUAAUACUAUUGUAAUUGUUAUGUUCUAGACCCAAUCAAUUUAGGUUGUAAAUAUUUUUAAUAUGUUUAAUGCAUUUAUUUUUGGCAAGAUCUAUUAUUUAUUUAAAUUAAUAUUCUGAUAAAUAAUAUUAAAUAAUAGAGUUGAAGAUUCAAAUUUAAGUGAUUUGUUAAUCACAAGGAGUUGUGAUUGUGAGAUGCAAACUACAUAUCAUUAGAUCUUGAACAAUUCAUGGUCGUAAGUAAUAACGAGAUACAGAUAUCGUUAUUACGGAUAGACAAUCACGUGUGGCAUUUCUUACUUGUGAAGUAAGUAACUGAUCUCACAAGCUAAAAUGUGGUGACAUUUAAAUGAACGUGUGGAUGUUUUAUUAUAAAACGAAAUAUUGGAGACCCGUUAAGAGAUUUCACAUGGUUAACUAUCUGAGUGUCAGUGGCUGAUCUCUAACGUUGGGUAGUGAAAUUGAUCAUUCGACUUAAAGUCGUUAUCGUACUUUAUAUGAGGACAGUCAUGCUUUGACGGUGUUGAAUGUUGCUCUACCAAGGGUCGUUAAUACGACAUCGGUCGGGUAUGUCAAGAAUCAUAUGAAGGCUGUGAAUAAGCAAUAGAGGAUUCGUCACUCUUAGAUAGUAAAAGAUUGUGAUCUGCAUUUCAUUCAAUUAAGUCGAUAACGAAAUUCUUCGUCAAGGUAUACUCAUAAGUCGAAAAGGAGUUUUCGACUCAUAUUGACUUCAAUGGUAAAAUGAAAGAUAUGAUCGUUAAUCGAGAUUGACACACUUCCAUAUCUCGUAAUUGAUCGGAUCAUAUUGACGAAGGGAUUAUAAUUUCAUGGUAAACGAACAUGUUUGGUUUUGUCAUAUCAUGUGAUAUUUUCCGUCACAUGUGUUGCCCUGAUACAUUGCUAGACAUCAAUCUGGGACGACGAGUGUGAAUUGGUAAUAAAUUAAAAGGGUGUUUUAAUUUAUCAAUUUUUGAUUAGAUCAACAUAAUAUUUCACGUCGCUAGGCAUCGUGAUCGAGAACCUAAUGGGUCGCACACAAAAGAUAAUUGAAAGAUUGCAAUUUGUUAAUUAAUUAAUUUAACAAUCGUUAGAUAAAUUAAUUAAUUUGAUUGGUUAUUUAUAACUCCGAAUUAAUUAAUUGGAUUAAUUAAUUCACGAACCGAAUUUAAUUAAAUGGAUUAAUUAAAUAUUAGAUCGGACCAGGCCGAGCCCGUUUGGGCUUAUAUAAAUACUUGGCUAGAGUUUUAAAUCUAUACAGUUUUUUAUAAUUCUUGCUAGCACAAGAGGAUAAACCCUAACAGUUGCAAUCUAUUCUCUUUGUAGAAUUCAUUGGAGGCUGGAUAAUUGGACAACUGUGGAAGGCAGAUCCAAAUUGCUGGAACAAAGAUAACGCAAAGGAGUUUGCAAAUUCAAGAAAAUGUAUAACUUUCAUCACANNNNNNNNNNNNNNNNNNNNNNNNNNNNNNNNNNNNNNNNNNNNNNNNNNNNNNNNNNCUUUUUUUACCCAUGCAUGUCAAGAGGCUCUGACCCCUUAAAAACACUUGUUAUUGUGGACUGAAGAAAGGGAAUUUUCUCAAUUCUUAAGAACUUAAACAUGAUCAUCAACCAGAUUCCAUCAUUUGGAAAUUGUUUUUCUUUUAGGGGAAUAAUUAAGGUACAACUGCACGAUAAUAAAUCAAAAGUUCACGUAAAACCGACCCUUAUACUGUCAGUUAAGCAUUCUAUUUACUCGUACUGAGUUGCAUGAACAGAACUAUACCUGAUUCAAGAUGGGUUUUGAUACCAAUUGUCUUCGAUUUUCCAUAGGAAUGUACUAGAUCUCCCUCCAAGAGACUGCAUUUAAAUUCAAUCAAUUUGCGUACUAAACCAGCCUGGGAUUUUUCUCGGUUAAAGACAGAUCUGUCCAACUGGGGCCAAACUACACAAGAAUGAAAAAAGAACAAUCUCUUUCCAGCUUUAUAAUUAUAGAAAGGCCCACAAGUUAAUGCACCAAUGAGUUAAUAACUUAAUACGAUAGAAGCUCCAUAUUCUUUUACAAUAUGUAUUUAUCUGUCAUGUUAGCUGCUUCAUACUUAUCUCUCAAAGUUACGAAGUUGAAUCAUUAGUUGUCUCACAAAAUGAAAAGAUAGAAACUCUUUUCAGCCUCAUGCAUUGCAAAGAGCUAUGGGAAACUGGUGUCUCCAUACCAGAUAGACUUUGGUACUUACUACUAAUCAUGCUAUAUCGUCCAUGAAAUUACUUGUGGACCUUUACACAUCAAAAACUAUUUUACCAAUUGCAGCUGGCAGAUAGGUACUCUUGCUUAUUCAAGUCAUAACGACUGUAACUCCAAAUUAUCGUAUUCAAUUUUAUAAAUGCAUAGUUCAUGAAUGUUAACAAAUUUUAUCUAAUAUUUAUUUAUUUUUUUUUAUCUAAUUUUAUGAUCACGUUCGUGUGGUUCCCAAGGUUCUUGCUACAGGUUUUUUGGUUCCUUCUUCAAUACCCUGAGAGAAAAAGAGAGAGGAAUCAAAAAAUUCAGAGAAAAUCUUCAUACCUAAAAUCCCUACAAUUAGAAUUUAUCAAAAUAUCAAGUAAAAACUUACAAUUAGAAUUUAUCAAAAUAUCAAGUAAAAACUUUCCUAAUUUAAAAAUCUACAAACUACCAAGAGAAAGUAAAUUUAUACCUACUUUAGAAUUUCACACUUUAUAAAAGUUCAUAUUUUGUCAAGUCUCCAAUGCAAUCUGCACCUCCUUGAGUAUUACAUCAAACUAUCUGCCAACUGCACAUUUAGUCUGUUCAAUUCUGUACCUAUUGUUUCGUUUUUCCAUUAUUUAUUUUAUUUUUUAUUUUUUUGGGUUGGCACAGUUGGGGAGUUGCUAACGGAAAACAUGGAUUAUCACAGUAGAAAAGACACAAGUAUCUAGCACGUGAUGGAAAAAAAAAAGAGUGAAAACAUCUAUCGAUUCCCAAAGUUUAUUUACUUUCAUUGCUUUAGGAAUUAACCUUCAAAAUGUGAAGAUGAAUUACCUAUCUUCUUUCUUUGAUUGCACAGGAGCAUUUGUCUGUGUUUCCAUACAUAGACCAUCGUAGAGGGUACUGCAUAGACUCUUCUGAUCUUUCAAAAGCAGAUAAGACAGGAUUACCACAUAUAAUGUGCCUAAAGAAGAGCAGUAAUAUUCAGAAGGUUCAUUUUGAUGCCUCUAUAUAUACAAGAUUCUCAAAUGUUUCUGGAAUGAUAACAAAGCCAUAAUUGUGAAUGGGGGUAGGCGGGGUCCUAAACUGAUUAAGGGAGAAAAGUCAAAAGGGGAGCAACAGAAUCUUUAAUUCCCAUGUGCAUUAAGAUAGUCACUGCCAUCUUAAAAGGCACAUCCAGGAGAUUUGAUUAAAAGCGACAAAAUCAAGCAGAAGGCAAUUGCAGCUUUUACUUGUAUGAAAUGGUUAUUCGUGCAAACCAUGGGCAAAAAAAGUGAACUGUGCACCCUACCAGAUUUCUCAACAUAUCAAUAAAAAUCUCUAAUAAACAGAGAACAAUUAUCUUAAAUAUAAAGGAGUAAACAAGAGUCAAAACUAUGAAACGACAGCAAAUUAUAUCUUAUUCCUGAUAAAUUGGUCAAAAAAUGAGCUUUUAUACCUACCCUUCUACAAUUUGUAUUUAUUUUGAAAUUUUGAAAAAUAGGCCUUCAUAUUUUAUUUAGUUUAAUUGGUUAAUUUUGUUUUGUCUGUUUUGGAGGAUCAAUUCAAGUUGUGAUUGAUCAAUUAUGGCUUCUUCUUUUUUCUUCUAAGGAAAACACUAACACAACCUCAGUGGGUUUUAAAGCUCCAUCAGGGAACACUGAUGGGGAUUUGGAUUCUCCAACCGUAUAUAUAAAAUCAAACUCACAAGAACAAGAGGAAGGGGAACAUAAACCUAACCUCCCAAAAGCGAAGAAAAGCAACAUAUGAAGGAAAGGAAUAAGAGCUGAUACAAGGGAUGCGAAGGAGUUUCUAAAGCAGUCAAGUAUCAAUUAUUUUAAUUCUCGUAAAGGCAAUUUUCUUCUUCUAUGAGUUAUACUCGUCUUUCUAGGUUUAUGGAAAAACAUGGAGCAAAAGAUAGUGCUUAGAUAAACAAAUGUAGACAUACUUUUAGACACUCGUAAAAGCAUAGAGAACAAUUAUUUUGAUCUUCAGUAGAAUCUUAAUAGGUAGAAUUUUAACUUAAAUAAAUAUGGUAUCUUGUCCAAACAAGCCAGAGAUAUGUUGGCAAUACAAGUGUCUAUUUUUGCUUCAGAAUUUUGUGAUCCUUGAUAUUUUCAUAAUUCUUUAAGCAUUAAAGUAGUGGAGGUCUUGGUGUGCUCCCAAAAUUGACUUUUGCAGUGAGGAAUGGUACUACCAUCAGUUUUUGGGAUGAUUAUUGGUCUGGAGAACAACCGCUGAAGGUGAAAUUUCCCUCUUUAUCUCGUAUUGUGUUUACACCGUCUGCUACGGUGAGUGAUUCUUAGAUAUACAUAAUGGGAGGAUCAGUUGGAAUAUUGUUUUUGUCAGAGAUUACAGGAUUGGGAAUUGGAUGAUUAUGCGCUAUUUUUGACUUCUUUGUACAAGUUUCGCAUCAAGACAGGAGAGGCAGACUGUAGUAGGUGGAGAUUGACACGGGAUGGGAUUUUCUCAGUUGGCACUUAUUUUAGAUCUUUAUUGGGUCUUGUGCAGAGUUCAUUCCCCUGGAAAUCAGUGUGGAAAUGUAAAUUGCCUCCACGGGUUGCAUUCUUACUUUGGACGGUGGUCAGGGGACACGUGUUAACGAUGGAUAAUCUACGAACAAGAUGUUUAUGUUACAAAGUGGUGUUAUAAGUGUCGGAGGGAUGGGGAGACGAUUGAUCACUUGUUUCUCCAUUGUGAUGCCGCUCGUUUACUGUGGCACAAUAUUUUGGCAUCACAACACAUGGAUUAGGCGAUACCGAGGCGUAUGGAAGACGUGUUAAAGGCAUGGAGGAAAAAUUUCGCGACAAGGAUUACAAGCUUGCAUGGGACCUUAUUCCGGGUUACAUUGUAUGGUGUAUGUGGGAAGAAAGAAAUAGCCGCUGCUUUGAUAAUCAAACACGGACAGUAGAGCAAAUUAGAGAUGUUUUAUUUCACAUUGUAUACGUGGUUUAAUGCUGCAGCUACUAGGCAUAUAGAUGGGUUGCACAAUUUUAUGUUUUUCCUUUCUGCUUUAAAUUAAUAAUACACUUCCCGUGUAUUAUGCAUUGAUUAAUAAAAUAUUUGAUUACCUUUCAAAAAAAAAAAUUCAUAUUGGAUCUGCAAUUUGGAUGACUAUAACAUUAAUAUGUAGAUUGAAUUUGGAUGAUUAAUAUUUUUUAUUUCGUAUUGUAUAACAUUUUUUGUAACAACCCAGGCCUCGUACCCAAGUUGUUUUCUCAUGUACUUCCACUCCGUGAGAGUCUAAACCUAUCUGACUUCUCACAAAUUUCUAUAACGCCCUCAGGAUUCGAACCCAAGACCUCUGACUUAUGAGAGACUUAAACUAAAUCAAGGCACAAUGCUAGUGACAGGAUUUAGCUAAAGUCUCUCGUAAGGCAGGGGUCUCGGGUUCAAAUCCUUGAAGACAUGACAAAAUGUCUUGAGGAGUAAGAUAGAUUCAGGCUCUCCCAGAGCAAACAAUACGUAUGAUAUAAAGACUUUAUUAAAUUUUUUAUUAUGUAGGUUGAAUUUGCAUGAAUUUAAUAUUUUUCAUUUGUAUCGAGUUUGCAAUAGCAUUUUUCAUAUGUUGAUUGAAUUUGUUUUAGAUAGCGAAAAUGAUCCAACCUCAAAUGCGCCAAUCUUUUCAAAUUUUAUUGAAAUUGCCCCUAUAUUAAAUUAGACCAUCAAAGUUUUUAAUAAUGGCCAAUCAAGUUCAUCAAAAAAAAUGGCCAAAUGUGAAUUAGGCCCCCGACAAAAAAAAAAAAAAUUGUGUUCCUUGUGUGAUUCUGUUUAAAGCCCAAAACCAACCAACCCAACUCAACAACCCCACCCAACCUUCAUCAGUUAGGGUUGAGUUGAGUUUUAGACUUGUGGGUGGGUUGGUUCUGCUCAAUUUCUCAUGAAACUGAACGUGUUGGGUUAGGCCCAUUUUUUGGGCCUAAACCAACCCAUGCUCACCCAAGGUGCACACCACAAAAAUCAAAUAGCAUCGAGAUAUAUAAGCAAUAAUGAGCAUGCAUACAAUAUGCACUGUUAUUGAUGCUAACAGACUUCAUGAUAACUACUUAAUUGGACGUGCAAAUAGUAUUUGCAGUCAGGAGAAUAUACAAAAUCCUAUACUUAAUGAUCAAAUCGAGACAUCGAGGAUGUACAGUCAUAGUCAAGACUUAUGAAAGAUAGCUCUUAUAUUAAUGUAAACUGUUAUAUCUAGGACUUAAGACUAAAUAACAUCAAAGCGCGUCAUCUCAUUACUCUUCUAUUGAUGAAUACAUACAUGUAUAUAUACACGAAGCAUAAAGAUGAAGAAUGUAGCUUUAUAUUUGUGUGCAUACCUGUACUUCACUGUGAUUUUGAGCAUUAUAUUUGUGUUCACGUGUGUAAAGAGAGGGAGAGCGGGUCUAGUACUGUGAAUGGUUGACAAAUGAACAGACUGAAAGGAUUUUGUGAAUAAGAGAGAGAGAGUCUGCAUGACAACUCGAAAGAAAAUAUAAGGAUAAACACAAUCUUCAUAAAGAAUAUCCAAAAAUCAUUACGUGUUAUUCUACUUUUUGAAAAUAAAUUAUACGCAUCUUAAGAAAUUAAUCAGGUGUACAUUUGCAUUUAUCUUCAAAUUUAAUAAAAAGUUGUUUCAAGCGAUAACCAACAUUGUUUUAAUUGAUUUACCAUUAUUAAAACUGAGUAUUAACAAAUUUCCAUAUAAAAUGUGCACCUUGUCAUCCGCGCCACCUUCAAAUUAACCUAUUUGUGCAUGUGCAUUGCACAUCGACUAUACUAGUUGCUGCGUAUUAGGAUUUAUGACAUAAGGUUUUGUGUUACGCUCACUGUUAACCUACCACAACCCUCCUCUUUGCUCAGUUUUGCAACCUACUAUGAAAUACAUAGACACCAUUCUAGUUAUAGUGAUUUUUUUAAAUUUAACAAUUAAAAAAUAAUUAUUGAAUAGGAAAAUUAAACAAAAUGCUAAAAAACCAGCAAAUACAUUUAUGAUGUAGUUGAAAAAAGUGCAUGUAUACACAUUAAUUGCACAGUAGAUGAAUCAAGAUUAAAGCUGAAUAAAGAUCAAUUACCUGUAGACUGCCCAGAAGGUGAUGAUGCCAUCCGCAGGUGGUGGUGACAGAAGAAACAUAGGUUGAAGUGGCUAUGGAGCAGGCACAGAUUGCUGCACAGAUGCAGUCGUAUUGCCCCCAUUUUUAGUGUAAACUUCUUUCCUUCAUUACCAUGCCCAGUUUAUUGGGGAAGAUUUAUGUCUUUGUUAGCUAAUGCUUAAUGGGUUCAUUGCAUAACAUGCAUAAUUAGAACUACAUAAUGAACGGAACAGAAAAUUGUACAAUAGAAAAAUUCUGAGAUCAAUUUUAUUAUUUAGAGAUACAUUCAUAAAUUUAUCAAAUCUAUAUUUUCGGCUCCUCCAUCAGAUUUGAUAAGUUCUUUUUUCCUCCCAAUUCGACUUCCUACAAUGUUCACAAAUAUCUAUAGUAGAGUUUAUUGAUUGACUAGAUUUACACUGUGAGGAAUAUGAUUUAACAGUGACACCACCUAUAAUACUUUCCAUUUUUGUCAGUGAACUAAAGUACUGAACUUCCUGCUAAUUGCCUUCCUGAUAUUUCUCACUUUCCAAUUUCAGAAGUUUCAAGUUUUCGUAGCAGUAUGAUAUGCAUAAAAAUAUUACUAACUAAAAGUACUAUGGCAAGUAAGUCAUAAGCUUGUCUGAGUUCCUCUACACUAAAUAUGGAAAAAUAUUAAACUGAAACAGAAUCUUGAAGCUAAAUUAAUUAAAGACAAUUAAAGUAUUACAUUUAACAUGCAAUUUACAAAAAAAAAAAAAAAGAAAAAAAAAAUGAACCUGUGUAAUUUGUCUUUUUUUCUUUAAAAAGAAUUAAGAGAGCAGUCUACUGCCAUUUUAAGUAAAGAACUAAGCUAAAAUUGGAGUACAAAGAGCAAAUCAAAACACAAUCUAAACAGUUCUUAUUCAAACAAAAUAGUUACUCAUGAAAGUCAAUGUGCAACGGGGUGUGGAGUAAACAACACAAUCAAAACAGCUAUUACUCAUUCAAAACAGUUACUUUUGGAAGUGCAAGUGCAACACAAGUGCAAACUACCAGGAAAAGGAAAUAGAGCAUUAAAUUGAAAUACGUCAUCUAAAAUUUCAAGAUGAUAGAGAGAUUAUAUAGUUAUUUACUUAUAUUUUAUGGAAACAUAUUUAAGUUUUCCACCAAAAUAAAUUUAUGAUCUAGUAAAGGUAAAAUUGCCUCUUAAUAUAGGAGGUUCAUGGACUAAAACAACUAUGGAAGCAAAUAGUUUCAGGAAUUUUUCAUUGCAUCCUUCAAGUUUCAUUUCAGGAAGCAAUGAUAAUUCUAUUAGUAGACUGUGAAGGAGUAAAGCCAAUCAAAGAGUAAUGUUUGAGAUAUAUGGGGCACGUGCAUACCUCGUGCUAUGUCUGUGCUAAAAGUUAUUUUCAGCACUAGGGUUACAUUUGGAACUCUGCUAAGAAGCAUGGAUUGGAAUGGGGGCCGUGAAGCACACUAUUCCCGAGGCAGAUGCCUCAUUGAAUGAGAAGCACACCUCAAGGGGAGUGAGGUGUGUGCGCAGUUUUUCCCAGGAAUGACCUUUUUUUCCUUUUUUAUCCUUCUCUUUUUUAUCUGAACAUAAAUUUUAAGGAAUAUGAUGUUUGUCCAGACUCAAAGACAAGGGAAAAAAAAAAGAAACAAACUGACUUGGCAACAGAUGAUUGGAUGUUUGUAGUUUUUAUUUUUCAAAUAGUUCAAUUAUGUGUUAACAUAUUGUAACCUGUUUUUUAGCCUGUUUGUGUGCAUAAUUCCAUUUUUAAUUUGGCCCAUCAAUUCUUUUACUUGUUUAACCUAAUCAACCCCACACAUCACCAUCCCCGAAACAUUCAAAGCUUACUCAAUAAGAUUUCAAGGCAGCAAACUCCGGCAUUCUGAAAAAAUCCAGCAGGUAUUUAAAUUUUUUUUUUUUACCCGUCCUUUUUUCAACAUUUCAUCUUUAUUUUUUAUAAAAUUAUAUUAUGGGUGGUUUCUUUAUUUUGGCGUUAGCUCUAUAGAAAAUUUUCAAGAUUAUUUAUGGUUUAUUAUACCUUAUUAUACCUUUAUUUUAUAUUAUUGUACAUUAUUUGAUUUAUUUUUUUUUGGUUUGCAGAGAGGCUUAGGCCUCACUUCACAACCUAGUUCCAUCUUUUUAAACAUUCAAGGAAGAGGUAAAAAUUAAUGAUUCCGACACCCAUUCAAGAAUCAUCAUGCCUAACAUGGAGUAAUUGACACCAUAUCACCAUAUUGAAAUUCUGCAGUGUUCCAACAUCAAGUCAUAUCAUAAGCCAAUGUCAUUUACAACUACAUAUCGCAAAUAUGCAAACACUGCAAUUUUCUUAUAUAAUUGUUGGAACAACUAUGCAUUGCUCUUAUGUAAACAAUAUGCAUUACUCCUCGUGUUCCCACUUGCAACUAAUUCAUCAAUUUUUCUCUCCUAUGACAAGUGAAUUGUCAUAAUUGCAUACCCGAAGUUAAUGUCAAUAUCUUCCAAAAAAAUUAAACAAAGCCCAUUACCCAAUUGAGACAAACCAUCAAACACUUCAUACACGAGUGUAACAGAAUCUAGAGUGAUACUUUCAAUUACUAUUGUGAAGAAUCCAGAUUUUUUCUAUGAGCUACCAAGACAAGAGUCUAUGACUAAAUAACAAUUUAAUUGUCUUUGCUACUAUGUAACAAAAGAACACAAGCAAAUCAGUAAAUAGGUUCAUACAGGCUUUUAUCCACCUUGUAAAUUUAACUACUCGCUUCCAUCCUGGGAGCACUUUUGCAUUUAAUCACAUGUAAAGUUCAAAAACAAAUAUGUUUUUGACUUCAAUUUGAAAUAAUCCUUGUCUUCGCAUACAAUUUUAAUUAGAACAACGGAUCCUUAAAAUAAUGGGAUAACUUAAUCAUGUCGAGGAAACGUCUAAUGCAAUUCUUAGAAGGUAAGGGGAGAUAGAAGUCAAAGCAAAUGUUUGCAUAGUAACUCGUCUCUCCAAGAGGAAGUGGUAGAUGUGGUCAUGGAGCGAUGCACUGAACCAUGUUGGUGGCCUAAUGUCAUCCUCCUCUUCUUUCCCUCCUCUUAUUGACCAUUGCUUCUCAUUAUCCCUAUGUAAGAGCAUCUCCAAGAGACCUUUUAAAAGUGAAAUGUGAUAAGCCCCCAAUCCCCAUAUUCUGUUGCUAGGGAAAGUAGUUAGGCAGAUUUAGCUAAGAGGCUAUAAAUAGAGGUAGAAGGAGAGUCUAGAGAGAGGCAUUAAUUUAGUCGUAAAAGAGUCCAGUUAAUUUCUCUUGUUUCUGUUCCGUAAUUCCAUGCACAUCAAUACCAAGUUCUAUAAUAAUUGUUCCAGUUUCCUUUUCUUCCAGUUGAGUCUUAACAAAUUGGUACCAGAGCGAGCAAUUUUGAUGGCCCAAAAGAAGAUAGAAAUCAGAGUGGAAGCUAUGGAGACGGAGAUGAAGCGAUUGAAAUCUGAGAUGCAAUGCUUACCAAAAUUGGAAAGGUCUGUGGAGCACCUCAUACAGAGCAUGGAAAAGUUGCUGCUGUCCAUAGAAGAAACCCAGAAAAAUAUGGUUGCCUUGAUUUUCCGUAAGGCAACAAUGAACCAGGGUACUCAAUGAAGAUAUAUUCAGAAAUUUUAUGGAAGGGGGCUACCUCCUAGUGUCCACUAGGGACUCUUGAUGGAUCAACAGCACAAGACAAAGGAAAAGAGUCGAAAGAAACAAGGAAGGCCAGCGCCGGAGGAAUUACGGUCGCUUCUAAUCAGAUUAGAGAUGGUGGUAAUUGGCAGAGUGUUUGGAAGCUUGAGAUGCUUGAAGUCCUAGCUUCUCCUUCUAAGAACAUCAUCGCAAGACAAGCUGGAAAAGACGAAAACAUCGACUCAUAGAUGGAAGGAGAAAUAUGUCAUGGGCUAACAUAUAAGGCUAAAAUUUAUAUUACAAUUAAAUGCAUUCAAAAUAUUCCAAUUUUCAAUGCUCCAUAUAUUAAUCCAAUUAAAUAGUAAUACAAAAAUGGAGGGAAAAUCAUAUUAUAAUUUGGAGGGAAGCUAGUGAAAAUAUAAGACAGGGAAAAAUAAUAAUUACAUAUUUGGAGUAGUAAAAAUUAAGUGUUAAAGAUAAAGAGAUUAUUAAAGUAUUUAGAAGUUUUUACUCUCUAAAUUUAUAGAUGCUCUUUAAAUUGCAAAAUGUGCUCUUCAAAAUAGAUAAUCUCUUGUAGAUGCUCUAAAUGUACUUCCGUUCACCGGUUUGGGCUGUUGGGCCUCAAUCAUCAUCUUUUUACAGAGUUAAGUAACAAUUGACAAUGGAUAAUUCUCCAUACAGUCUAUGGAUUCUUUCCUAUUUACCUUUUACUUCUAAUUAUACAUUUUUGCAAUGAUACGUCUUUUUCUAAAAGUAGAGAAAGCUACAAUCACCUAGUGAUCAGAAAGAAAGAUGCAAAAACCAUAAUGUCAUCAUUUCAUUAUAUUGCUCCAGUGUAUUCCCCGUUCUGUCCUUUUUUAGGAAUCGAAUGUAAACCAUUAAAUCUGAGCUAAGGUUCACAUUUGGUGGCUGGUGAGUCUAAAUAUUGUGUUCAACUGUCCCAAAGAAAUUAACAUUUGUUAAAUCAAAGAACAUUUUUUAGACUAUAUAACUUCUCUACAACUUUUCAAUGUAAGCUAUGGAAUUGAAUGAUGAAGUGUAUCAAGAUAAACAAAAUGUGCAAAACUGAUCAUCGGCAGUGAGUCUUCAAGGCUAAAGAUGGUGCAUUUUGUAGAAAGUCAUCACGCAUUCUAUGCAGUGGAAAAAUAUUAAGCAUCCAAAUGGCACUGCAUAACUAUUUUAUAGUCUGCUUGCGCUCUUAACACUAAACUAGGGCAAGGUGAUAGAUGAUUACAAUAAAAGAUUAUAGUAAAAUGAAAACGUAGCUAUGGCACUCCAGGUGCUUGGCUAAAUCAUGAUGGUGAUCAGAAUUUGAAAGGAAUAAAUAAGAAUGCUAUAGUAGUCAGGUGUAAGCAGGUAGAAAUAGUGCAGAUUCAUAUGCAUGUUGGAAAGGCAAAGCUAAAAUGUGUGCUUGAACAGUCAUCACCAAUAGAUCACUUUCAUGUGAAAAUGAUUUGGAUUUCAAAUUGGAUACACAUACAAGAAGGAUGCUCCCCAUUAAUUCAACUGGGGAUGAUUUUUACUUCAGUGAAGAAGAUUUGGCAUCAACUUAAAGCACACAGACUUCAUCAUAUUCAAAUUAGAGUUCAUAAAAAUCACAAUAUAUAAAAAUCUUAGGCUGUAAGGUGGGCAAACUUUCAAUUUCCUGAAACAGCAAUGAAAAAACAUUCGGCAGACAGGUUUCAGAUUAGAUUCUCUGGUUAUAAAUCAAAAAAGAUAUGAGCAGUCUAACGACCUCUGUUGGCACGACGCCGUCUCUGAGCCUGCUGAACAGAAAGGGGGGGUCGCCUGUUGUGUGCCUACAUGUUAAAAUGAUAUAAUCACGAUUAGAUUUGCCCCUUUACAAUAAUAAAGUUUCUUUCACUUCAAUUUUGAAGAGAUGGUCAAGUUUAUCUUAGUAUCCAUUUUACAACUUAAAUAAUUUCUGAGCUAUGAUUAUCUUUCAUUUCUUUCUCAUUUACCUUAGACUCCCUUUAGAUUACGGAUGCCAUUGAGAAAGUAAAAUCUUCUCUCUCCAAAUUUGUCAAUAAAUCUUGACAUAAAUUUAGUAGCACGUCAAAAUGGUCCAGGUAAUAGAUCAAAUUAUGUGAGCAAUACACAAUAUUUACUUUAUGAGUAAUGUUAUAGUCUUGAUAGAUUCAACAAUCUCGAGAUAAUUAAAUUAAAGAUUAAAUGUGAAUGUUCAUCUAAAUGUUUAUUCAUAGUAAAAUUACAUUAAGAGCAUGUUUGGUAGAGAUUAUAAUCCAAUUAACAUCAAUUUUUUUACCGUUAUUUCACUAUUCCAGCCGUUAUUUUUGAAUUCUUCUCUCACAAGCAGGACCCACUUUAUCUCUAACGGUCAAAAAAUCAAUUAAAAAAAUCCCUACCCAACAAGCACUAAAUAAAUUUUAAAUGUGAACAUUCAUCUAAUAUUCUUAGUGAAACUACAUUCGAAGAGAGUCAUAUACAUAUCUCCGGCAUCCAUGCAUGAGUUAAUUUCCAUAAUGAUGAUUUUGGUGAGUUCCAAUUGCAUUAAGAGUGCAUUAUCAUGCAUCUUUAGGAACCAUAGUGACGAUUUUGGUGAGUUGAAAUUGUAUUAGGAGAGCAUUAUCAUGCAUCUUUAGGAAAGAAGAGACACUGACUCCAAUUUGUGUCACGAAAUGGCAAGAAGAACAUUGAACCGCUGGUGCUCCAUGUUGGUACAUAAGUAAAACUGCACAACCCCCACAAUUAACUUGUCCAAUUUGAUAGGCUGCAAAAACAAAGAUGAAAUCCUAAAUCACAUGAGACCAAGCCAUCACAAGACCCUAGUUAGCAAUUCAGACACAUCAACCUGAGAUUUAAUGCACGAAUCCAAAAAUUUUUAAGGAAGUCUUCUGUUCUUCUGUUUAUUUUUUUCUAUCGCUCGCGUAAAAGUGAAGCAUUUUAGCACGUCAUGGCAUGGAAAAUUUGGUGGCCCUCAAUUACAAAGACAUGCAAGAAGAUCCCCUUUACUUCAAAAGAGAGGAUCCAACAUUUACUAUUCAACCUAAGGUAGCGGUUUCACACUUAACUGGUUUUAUACUGUAGUUGAACUCGUUAUGCACUAUUCAUCACCAAAAAAAAAAGUUUUCUGGAAAUAAUAAUGAAAUAUGGCAGCAUUAUUGCUGUCUUUAUUGACUUUAUAGAACCAUUUGCUAACGGUUACUGUAGCUUCAAUUAAAAAAUAUCAUUUCACUUCGUUAGAUGCUGUAGCUUCCAGAAAUGAAAUUAAUGAGACCACUUUAUUGCCUCCAUUGUUGACUUACACAAGUGAGUUACUAUAGCUGUCCCUUCCAAAAAAAAAAAUUCUUCUCGUGCAUCAUGAGAGAGUGAGACAAAUUAUGGCAACGAAUUGUAGGAAUUUUUUUAUCAUGCCAGUUACUAUUCGUUCAGAAAGCAUCUCAUUAUUGCCCAUUUGACCCUUACAUGCAUACCGAUAAGUCAUUCACUCCUAACCGGGUAAAGCAUUUUUUUUCCCUUGGAUAAUUGAUCUUGUGUUUUAUAUCAUAUAAUAUUUUUAUUAUAAAAAUUGUCACGAAAAAAUAAUAAAUAUUAAUAAAUAAUUAAUUUUUUUUAAAGAAGAAAAACGAGUUAUACGUAUUUUUUAAAACAUACGUUUGAUGUACGUUUAACUAUUUUCGAUAUUCAUUUAGAUCAUUCAAUGCUUCUAUGACAUAGUUCUCAAAAUGAGUUUCGAGAUAAUAUAGAAGAUAUAUGCAUUCGACUACCGUACAAUCGUCAAUGAAUUUAUAAAAUUAGCAUGUUAUCAAAAUUCUUAAUUUUUUAAAUGAUGUCUAUUUUAACAUUAAAAAAAUUUAAAAGUUUAUUAGGAAAUUUUCUAAAUGACGUCAAAAAUUAUUGUUACGAAAAAAUAAUAAAUAUAAUUAAAUAAUUAAUUUUUUUAAGGAAAAAACUAGUUAUACGCAUUUUUAACACACAUUUGAUGUACGUUUAACUAUUUUCAAUAUUCAUUUAGAUCAUUCGAUAUGUUUAUGAUAUAGUUCUCGAAAUGAGUUUCGAGAGAAUAUAGAAGAUUUAUGGUAGAUUUUUAUAAAAAUAAAUAAAUAAAUCACUUAGUGAAAAAAAAAUUUAACCAAAAAAAAAAAAACAAUAGAGCAACUCCACGCAUCACGAAGCAAAUGCUCCGUGAUGCGCGGAGCAAUUUUGCUCAUGGCAUCCAGGAGAAAUUGCUCCGUGCAUCACGGAGCAUAUCCAUUAGGCAACUUUUUUUUUAUAUAUAUAGAUGACGUUCAGUGUCAAAAUUUAUUUUAUUUUUAUUUUUUAUUAGGUGAUUUAUUUAUUUAUUUUUUUUUAAAUCUAUUAUAAAUCUUUAUAAAUAUUCUAUAUUCUUUCGAAGUUUAUUUCGAUAACUAUAUAAUAGAUACAUCGAAUGAUUUAAAUGAAUAUCGAAAAUAAUUAAACCUACAUCAAGCAUGUAUAAAAAAAUGCGUAUAGCUCGUUCUUUUUUCUUUUAAAAAAUCAAUUAUUUUAUUAAUGUUUAUUAUUUUUUUGUGACAAUUUUAUCAAUAUAAUUUUCUUUUUUCCUUGGUGAUUGAUAUAUUUUUUAUACAAAUCUAUUUUACCCUUAUUUAAUAUGACACGGAGUAUAUUAAAUCAUGUAUAUUGUUUAUUUCCUAAAAGUAGUUGUGAUAAAUCAAAGUAAAACUUAACACAAUAUUGAAAAAAAAAAUACUCAAUCAAAAAAAUAUCGAUUAAUUUAUUUGACGAUACUGAAUAUUUUAGAUGUAUAUAAAUUUUGGAGGAUUAAAUUCAUAUAUAUCAAAAUUGGGUGAUUAAAUAAAAAUCUCAACCCCAUUUAAGUGACAAAACAUUAUAUUGUGGCUCAGCUUGUGUUUGACUCCAUUAAUUUUUUCUCAUUUUUCUCUCUUUUAUUUUCAAUCGCAGAAUCUUCUAUAAAAUAAUAUUAUACAUAAAUAAAAAAAAAUUCAUUAAAUCGAUUGGAUAUUGAACAAUAAAAAAAAGAUUCGACUAAUUACACGAUUUAAUUAUAUUGAAUAGUUAUCAUCAAAUAAGUCCUUUAUAUGUAAAAUAACCACUCAAAUUAAAAUAAUGUUUGAUUUAUGAGCUCCAAUAAUUGUGGUUUUUAAUCUAUGCAUCAAGGAAACAUUUAUCCUAUCCCCAGAAAAUACAUUUCAAUUAUAGCAACACAAAAUUGAUGCCAACUAAUUUUUCAUCUUAAUAUUUUGGGGCCGUUUGAGCCCCAUUAUUUGUAAAUUAUGAGAUAAAUAGUGUUUUUUUUGAAAAAUGAAUGGUUGAAAAUUUUUGAUUUACGUGUAAUAUUAUUUUAUUGAAGAUUGUGUGGUUAUAAGUAGGAAAGAGAAAAUUUUAAUUUAAUUUAAUGAAAAAUAAUGAGGCUCAAACGGGGGCUUUAACAUCUGAAAACUUUUUAUAUAUAAAAGAAAUUCGAUCAUUUUUAGAAAUUUUUUUCUUAUUGGUAAUUUUUCCUCUCGAUCAAUUAAAUUUUUAAAUAAUCUAAUAAAAUUUUUUACGUCAUUUAGAAAGCUUCCUAAUAAACUUUUAAAUUUUUUUAAUGUCAAAAGUGUGUUAUAUAUGAAGAUUACAUUUCUGUUUAUCAUUUUAAAUAAUUAAUCAAAUUUGUAGAUUUAUUGAGAGAACUGAACAGAUAUUUUGACAUGUUAAUAAUUUAAUAUUACCUAAAAAAAUGACAUAGCCCGUGCAUUGCAUAGGCGGAAAACUAGUAAUAAUAAAAUAUCAGAUGUUAAGAGCACAACAUGUCUCAGAUACUCAAAACUUCAAUUUGCCAUAAACUUCAAUACAAGCAGCCUAUGUAUUAGAGGAUGUCGUGAUGUCGUUACCAUGUAUAACUUGAUUAGAAUUAGGGAUUUAUUUUGAUUGUACAGAAAUUUACUUUCCUUGUAUGUUCCUUGUAUAUUCUAUAAAUUGAAUGGAAUACAUACCAAAGAUUUAUUCAGCAAAAUCGGUUUUAGCAUGGUAUCAGAGCCCUAAUAUUUCUCGUGCGUGUCGCUAGCAAUCAGCUCUUAGUUCUUUAUAGUAGAAUCACGAUCAUCGCCUCUUGCAUUUCCGUCGGCAGUCACCAUCAAUUGGUUUCUUCAUAGUCUGCGUCUUUAUCAUCACUUGGUUUCUUCAUAGUCGGCGUCUUCGCGUUAGCUUCUCUCUGCGUUCCAGUGGUCAUCUUCUCAGUGUGUUACAUCUACGUGGUCGUGAUCCAGUGUGUUCUUAAGGUCAAUGUGUUCUUUGAUUUCUCAGAGAAUCGAACUGUGGUUUCUGUGGUCAGAGCAAAUUGUCGUCUUCGUCGCCUCUGUGAGUGAUUUUCUUGCCUUUGGCCAAUAUGUUGGGCCUUAGUAAAAUUAUUGGUUUUAUUAAAUACUUGUGGGCUUGGGCAAUUGAACUAUAUUGUCUUUAAUUGGAUACUGGUAGAUUUGGGCCAGGGCUUGGACCUCUAAUUUAAGUGGAUAUUUAAUUGGACAAAUUUAAAUUAAUUGGGUUGUGAUAAAUUUAUUGGCUAACAACCAAUUCUCCUCCUCCGUCAAAAUCUUAAGGUCUGAUUCCAGGGGUGAAUAUAUGUCUAACGCAUUUCAAGCUUUCUUACAAACUAAAGGCAUUAUUUCUCAGCAAUCUUGUCCUUCUACUCUUCAACAAAACAGGGUGGCAGAAUGCAAGAAUUGCCAUCUGCUUAAUAUGGUUCGAGCUCUUCUGAUUGAAUCUUCUGUCCCUCUCGAUUUUGGUGUGAAACUUUGUCUACCGCUGUACAUCUCAUAAAUCAGUUACCUUCUCCUACUCUUAAUAAUGUCUCUGUUUUAUAAGCUCUUUGGUCAUCAUCCCUCUAACUCUUAUCUGCGUCCUUUUGGCUGUGUGUGUUGCAUUCGUUUACAACCAGAAGAAAGGACAAAACUCACUCCUCAAUCGGUCAAGUGUGCUUUUUUUGGAUAUGGUGGGACUCAAAAAGGGUAUGUUUGUUAUGAUCCUGAGACACAACGAAUUAGGAUUUCUCGCAAUGUUGUUUUCUUUGAAAAACAAUAUUUCUUCACUUCAGAAACUAUUACUUCCCCGCCUAAGUUUUCUGUCCUACCUACUUUUCCUAUAGAAUUCUCUCAAUAUAAGCUCGGUCUUGUUUACACUCGCAGGCAUGAUGUACAGUCUACUAAUCCCACACUUCUCAGACGACUGUCCCCCACAUCUCUGAUCCUCCACCUACGACAUCAGAUCCUUCACCAGAUGAUUCUCCACCUACGACAUUAGAUACUUAACCGGGUAAUCUCCCACCUCCUGUCAGUCUUUGUCGCACCUCUCGUGUCCCUUGACCACCAGAUAGGUAUGGCUUUUCCUCCUAUAGUUCUAUAUCUACUACUCUUAACUCGAUUUCCAUUCCUUCCUCCUAUAGACAGGCUAUAAAACAUUUGGAAAUAGACGAUGAAUGCAAAACUUGAGGCUCUUGAGUCCAACCAAACAUGGGAUGUUGUACCAUGUCCACAGAAUGUAAAGCCUAUUGAGAGUAAAUGGGUACAUUCUAUCAAACUUCAUUCUGAUGAUUUUCUUGAGCGGUAUAAAGCUCGACUGGUUGCAUGGGGUAAUCGUCAAGAGUAUGGAAUAGACUAUAAUGAAACUUUUGCUCCAGUCUCUAAAAUGACAACUAUCCAUCUUUUGUUAUAGCUUGCCGCUUCUCAAUCUUGGUCUUUACAUCAAAUGGAUGUAAAGAACGCAUUCUUACAUGGAGACCUCGAGGAAGACAUUUACAUGAAACUUCCAUCUAGUAUGCCUCUUCCCUUAGCUAAUUUGUUUGUAAGUUAAAAUGAUCUUUUUAUGGUCUUAAACAGGCUCCUCGCGCAUGGUUUGACAAGUUUCGCCGCACUCUUAUGGAUUUUUUAUUUACUCAGAGUCAAUAUAACGCAUCCUUGUUUCUUCACAAGAGUACUGCUAGCAUUGUUUUUCUAUUGGUAUAUGUGGAUGAUAUUAUUAUUUCUGGAUCUUAUCACAUCCUUAUAAACUUCAGCAACAUCUUCAUUCAAUUUUUCACAUGGAGGAUCUUGGUCAUCUCAAUUUCUUGGUAUAUUCUUAAAUCAACAUAAGUACAUUCAAGAUUUAAUUCGAUUGGCUGAUUUAUCUUAAGCCUCCUUAGUUGAUACUCCACUGGAACUUAAUGUUAUAUAUUGAAAAGGCGAAGGUAAUAUCCUUACAGAUCCUACCCUCUGAUGGAGGUUAGUAGAUAGUCUCAUCUAUCUUACUAUAACUCGUCCAGAUAUUUCAUUCGCAGUUCAUACUGUCAACAAAUUCAUAGAUACCCCUCAUUAUCUUCAUUCGGUAGCUAUCUGCCAUAUUAUCCGAUACCUUAUUGGGACCCCUCACCUUGGUCCGUCCUUCCCUGAGGGAACGUCUCUUGAGCUCACGGCUUAUAGUGAUGUUGAUUGGGCAGGUUGCCCUGACUCUUGUCAAUCAACCACUGGGUGGUGUAUCUUUCUAGGUGAUGCUCUCAUUUCUAGGAAAUGUAUGAAACGGGAUAGUGUUUCUAAGUCCUCCACUGAGGCUGAAUAUCGUGCUAAGUCAGCUGUGUGUUCUGAGAUUGUAUGGUUGCAUGAUCUUCUAACAGAGCUUGGUAUUUCACAAACAAAGCCUACCUCGCUUCAUGGUGACAACACUAGUGCCAUUCAGAUUGCAGUCAAUCCUGUGUACCAUUAACGCACCAAACAUAUUGAGGUGGACUGCCAUUACAUUCAGGAUGCAUAUGAUUCUAAGAUAAUCACUCUUCCCCAUAUCUCAACUACCCAACAGGUUGCAGAUAUCUUUACCAAAUCAUGACUCAUCUUCGUCAUGAUUCUCUUGUUCGCAAAUUGAUGCUUGUGGAUUCCCCAACACCAAUUUGAGAGGGGGGUAUUAGAGGAUGUCGUGAUGCCAUUACCAUAUAUAACUUGAUUAGAAUUAGGGAUUUAAUUUGAUUGCACAGAAAUUUACUUUCCUUGUAUAUUCUAUAAAUUGAAUGAAAUACAUGCCAAAGAUUCAUUCAGCAAAAUCAAUUUUGGCACUAUGUACUAUACACACAGAUGAAUUAGGUCAGCUAGUCCCCCCCAAACAAUGUUAUAGUUGUGGACAUCAAUUCAGAAAAAAAAAAAUAAUGAUGCCCAAUCCAAAAAACCACAAGUCCAAUGAGACAAAUGUACUAGAGCUCCAAUUAGGCUGACCAUUAGUAUGACAAAGUCACCAAAGAUUAAAGAAACAAGAUUUGAGUAGUCAUCACUACUGGAAAUUAAGAUACACAAGUAACAUUGGACAUUCUCUUGAGGAGGAGGAGGGAGUAAAUAUGUGAUUGAGCUUACAUGUUAAUAAAUAAAGACCUUGGAAUCAAUGCAAAUUAUAGAUUUCAAAAGAAUGUUCCACUGAAGGAAUUAACUUCAUAACAGAUUGACGAAUAUUUGACUUAAAAACAAACAUAUAAGUAAUAGGAGACAGAAAACCUUCUAGGACGAGAUUGACUUCCUGGCAACCAGGACAUUGGACCCAUUUUGCUCCUCGCGGGUACAAAAGCAAUUUCCGGCAAGUUCCACAAACUAAUUGAGCCUUUUCUGCAUCAGCAUAACAUAGAGGCUAUGUAAGUACAAGUAAUGAAUCCAGAGCCAGAUUUCCAGAGUCAUAGCCAACUAUCGAUUUCAAAUAUUCCAAAUGUGAAAGAAUAAAAUAGAGGAAAACUAGGUGCAGUAGCAACAGGUAACAACAUUAGAUACAUAUAUUUAUAGGAGGCAGCAUCUCACUGUUGUCUUGAAUUAAAUUGGAUUACUAGUUACAUCAGCUCUGCUACAAAUUAAUUUAAAUUAUGAGUAAGAAUAACUUUUCUGUUUGUUGUUCAUGCCUCCAAUAGAAUCAGGAAAUUACAUAAGAUGACAUGUUUAGCAUAUUACAAACUUUUUUAUACUCACAAAUACGAAAUGCGUCAAACAGAAAUAGAAAAAAUAACGAUGGGGUUAGUAGAUUAGAAUUAAAGAUAGUUUAAUUUACAUUAGGCCUAUUUUAGUUUGUUAUAGUUUUCUAGUUUGACUAAAGCUAGGGUUUUGUUUUAUAAAUUUCCUAGUUUGACUUAAAUUAGGUUUUAUUUCCUUUGUAUCCUUCUUAAAUUAGGUUUGCUUAGACUCCAUAUAAAGAGGGUCUAUUCAUUGUCAUAUUCAAUCUUCAAUAUUGAAACUGAUAUUUUCCCUUUCUAGAAUUUAUCUAUUCUCUUCUCCUCCUCCUCCUCCUCCUCUUCCUCUUUCUCCUCUCCUUUCUGUUCUCUUCUUCCCUACUUUCCCCUUCUUGUACAAGUCUCGGUAUUUGUUCGUUGCGAUCUACAUCAAUUUGGCAUAAGAGUUUCGGCAUUUUCCUUUGACUAAAUAAUUUUGAAAAGUUUUGAUCGAUAUUCAAUUUCGAGAGAUCACAUCAAAUAAUAUGCAAGAAAAUUUUCAGUCACCAGGGAAAUUGUUGCUGAUUAAUUACAUAGUACAAAAUUCACUGCAAAUCAGAAAGUAUUUUUUCCUUCACAGUGUUUGUAUUAAUUCUGAUCAUCCAACUUGGAGAAUCCAAUCGCAGGCUUUGCAAAAGCCCAUUUGUGGCGUUCAAUCACCCACCGAACCCACCCAAGCACCAAACUUGGAGCCCAAAUCAUUUACCCACAAUGAUAGAUCAUAACCAUCAGCUAAAUUAGCCCAAUUUAGUCAGGCUCAUUAACCCUGAUCCACUACAAAACCAACAACGAUAACCCCCGACCCAUUUGGCCAAGUCCAAACUACAGAAAUCAAGCCCAACAACCCAACCCACCUUCAUCCACCCAUAGCAAAAACACCCCACCAAACCUUAAUCUCCACCUGCAACCAUUUUACCCCCGUGCACCACCACUCACAAACCUCUAUUAUUUUUCCCCACCUGCCUACUCAUCUACAUCCACUCACGCACAUUCAGAUUACACCAUCACCAACGCAGUAGCUUCACGAUCUGCUAACCAUUUGCUCUCACAAGCCUUCACUAUCAAUCAAUUAGCAUCACUCUUGAGAGUCACAUGUGGUCAAGUGCAGUUGUGUGGCUUAAAUACUGAUCGGACACUAUGUGCUUAUUGAAUAAACUCAUUUUUUCUCCGUCUAUGUUCUCUUUUGAUUUUUUCCCCUUUCUUGUCUCUCUCCCUUUCUUUUUGACUCUCAUUCUUGUUUAUUGAAUCAUGCGUUGAUUUGGUAUGAAAAAGGUAUAUCUCUUUUGUUAUGAUUUUACAUUACUUUUAUUGUAAGUGUCUGGCUUGCCUGACUUAUAAACGGAAAAUGUUUUUUCCCCAACAAAAAAUAAAAAUAAAAAUAAUUGUUCGAUUUAAUCUUAAAAAAUAUUAAAUCACUUUGACUGACCUUUUGGAGUUUUUGCUCUAUUUUAUGCACGUUCUAAGUGAUAAUUUGCAAAUAUUUAAAAUAACUUACAUUUGCCUCGACGCUUCACUCAGCACCAUGCACAAUUCAUAUAGCAACUCUUGUAGCCUAUAAGCCCUAGUCAGAACCAAGAUAGCAUGCAUUCAUCUUUUUCCCUUCACUGAUCGGUUUAGCAACUAAAAAGAAAAAGCGUAAAAACAUCUCCUUCUUAUAUUCACAUUUAACUAUGGAAAUUCUUCUUAAGAGCCAUCCUCAAGCCUCCCAAAAAGAGAAAAUUCUCUGAUAAAUAGUCCUUACGCCGACAUUAGCAGCCCAUUUCCGAAAUGAAAGGGGUGAGCGACACACCUAUUACCAUUACCAUCCCAAACAAUGUCAACACAGUUGAAUUUGGUUUAGAAUGCCUCUCCAAGCGAGAGUUGCUUCCAAUUAAUAGUGUGAGCACUUCUGAUUACAAAGCUAAAUAUCAGCCACUGCAACAAUCAUGCCUAUCAUCCCAAUAAUCAUGUCUAACUAAGAAAAGACAAUGUACAAUAAUUAUACUCAUUACAUAAAUCAUUCCAUAAUUAGACUAUAUUAUAUCUCCUACUCACAUCCCUCUGAAAUUGAUGCUAGUCGAUCAAGAAGCAUCAAUUGGAUUUCUUUGAAAAAAUGUCAGCUAUUGGAAGGGCAGUGAAAAUGUGAGAAAGAGUAACGAUAUGAGUAUCCAAUGCCUCUUGAAUAGAAUAACAGUCCACUUCAAUAUGCUUAGUAAGCUCAUGGUAAACAAGAUUAGUAGCAAUCUGAAUAGCACUUAUAUUAUCAACAUGGAGUAGAAUAGGAACAGAUUGAGAAAAACCAAGGUCAGCUAAAAUCCCACGUAGUCAAAUAAUCUCAAAACAACCAGCAGACAUUGCCCGAUAUUUAGAUUCAGUAGAUGACUUAGAGACACGAUCUUGUUUCUUGCUUUUCCAAGAGAUCAGAUAAUCCCCAAGAAACAUGAACCACCCAUAACAAAUCAUCAGGUAUUUGGACAACCUGCCCAAUCUACAUCACUAAAAGCAAUAAGGCAGAGAGGAGAACCGGUAGGAAAAAACAAUCUGUGACUGUAUGUGCUUUGAAGAUAGCAAACGAUACGACGAACGACAGCUAGAUGGAGAUGACAUGGAGUGUAUAUGAACUAACUAACCUGCUAGACUGCGAAAGAAAUAUUAGGCAUCGUAAUAGUUAAAUAAUUCAGGCUCCCCACCAGUUGGUAAAACACAGUAAGAUCGGAUAAAAGAUCACCUUCCUCACUACGAUACUUUGUAUUUACUUCUAGAGAAGUUUCCACAGUAGAUGAAUCAUGAAGACCUGCUUUAAUCAAAUCUUGCGUAUACUUAUGUUAAUUUAGGAAAAUACCAGAGGAAUCAAUGAAAACCUCCUCUAACCAACCCUAAGAAGUAUGUAAGAGAUCCAAGAUCCUUCAUAUGAAACAAGCCUAAAGAUGUUUCUGUAGACGGGUAAUCAAAGCAAAAUCCAUCUCGAUAAUAACAAUAUCCUCAACAUAGAUAAGAAAAACAACAAUACUAGUAGAGCUCUUGCAAAGGAACAAGGAAGAGUCGUACUAGCUCUGUUGAAAUAAAAAGUGAAGCAAGGUAGAUCAAAAUUUGUCAAACCAUACCCAUAGAGCCUGUUUCCACCCGUAUAAUGAGCGCUUAAACUUAUACUUCUAAAGAAGAGGUGGUGGUCAGACAAGGAGGUAGUGUCAUGUAAACCUCCUCUUUGAUAUCUCCGUCAGCACUGUGGUCGUCUUAGCAACCGGAGCAGAAGUCUCCUCAUAAUCUAUACCAUACUCCUGUUUGUUAUCAAGAGCAGCCAACCGUACCUUAUAUCGAUCCAAAGUCCCAUUAAAGCGUAGUUUGAUCGAGUAAAACCCACUUACAAUCAAUAGCUUUAACAUUCUCAGGACAAGGAACAUCCCAGGUAUCAUUGUCCUUGAGUGCACAAAGUUCACCUGCCAUUGCUCACCGCCAGCAUUCAUGUUUUACUGCCUCAAAGAACCAGGUAGGUAUGGGAACGGAUGACAAAAUAGCAUGAAGAGAAUAUGAAAAAAUCCAUUGUGACGACCCGGGUCUCUGUACCCAAGUCAUUAGCUUACGUACUGUCCGCUUUGGGUGGGCUUUGCGCACACUUACCCCUUACGGCUUUUUGUCGCGUCCCCCAAGAUUCUAACUCAUAACAUUUCCCUUAAGUAAGACUUAAGUUGAAUCCCGGUACCAAUUGGACAUGAGGGCUUUCUGUCACGUCCCCCAAGAUUCGAACUCAUAACAUUUCUCUUAAGUAAGACUUAAGUUGAAUCCUAGUACCAAUUGGGCAAACGCGACAGAAAGCCGUGAGGAGUAAGUGGGCGCAAGGUCCACCCAAAGCGAACAGUACAUAAGCUAAUGGUUUGGGUACAGAGACCCGGAUCGUUACAAAAAAAGAGCUCAAUUGGUACCAAGAUUCAACUUAAGUCUUACUUAAGGGAAAUAUUAUGAAUUCGAAUCCUGGGGGACGCGAUAGAAAUCCGUGAGGGGUAAGUGGGCGCAAGGCUUACCCAAAGCGGACAGUUACGUAAGCUAACGGCUUGGUUACAAAAACCCGAGUCGUUACAAUACCUAUUAGGAGGACGAGAAAUUCUGGUAGAACUGCAAAGAUUAGUGUCCGAAUCCAACUCAUUCGUGGAAGGCAGUGUUAGAGCAGCCUCAAAUGGCAAGUCAGGUUCAUGUGGGGCAAAGUAGAGCAUCGUCAUUCAUAUACGAAUCCAGACUUGAACCGUUUAGGAGAAGAAGACAACACAUCAAAGUGUGGAAGGGCAUAUAUCUUUGGUAAAGGUUCAACAUGAGUCGGAAAAAAGUAUUGAUUUUUUAAGAAGACUACAUGACGAGAGAUACGAAAUCUAUUAGAGCAUGAUCAUAACAAAAAUAGCCUUUAUGAGAGACACUAUAACCCAUAAAUGCACAUCUAACAGAUUGAGCGGAAAGUUUGUUUCGUUCAUGAGAAGGAAAAUAAACAAAACAAACGCAAUCAAAGGCAUGCAUGUCAAGGUAGUUGGAAUGCUGAUGAUGCAAGCGAUAAUAAGGAGUUUCAAAUUUGAGAACACUGGAAGGUAAUCGAUCAAUUAAAGACUGUCGUAGAUAGAGCCUCGACCCAAAUUUAGGUGGAACUGAGGAUUCAAGUAAUAAUGUAUGAACAUCUAACGGAUGACGAUUCUUACAUUCAGCAACACCAUUUUGCUCUAGAGUAUGGACGAAUGCUGGGAGACAAUGCCCUUUUGGUGAAGUGAAUCGUGAAACUUUAGAGACAUUCUUCUACUAAAUCAGAUCUUAACACUUUAAUACUCGAAGAGAAUUGAGUUUCAACAUAAGCGACAAAUUGUUGAAAGACAGAACACCUCAGAUUUAGAAUGAAGAAAAUAAAUCCAGAUAUACCUACUAUAAUCAUCAAUGAAUGUAACAAAGUAUUUAUAAUGGGUAAGAGAUGACCGGAGACAUACCCCAUACAUCAUUGUGAAUCAAAUCAAAACUUCUUUCAGCACGACUAUCAUGAGAAGAAAGCGAAAGAGACUUGCCCUUACCUAAUUUGCAUGUGGAAUAAUCAAGAGAAAUAAGAGAUGAAAAUUGAUCUUUAUUGCCCAUCAAUCCAAAGUUUAUUAAAUGAGAUAAAACUACGGAAUUAGGGUGACCCAAACGUUUGUGUCAUAUUUCACCCUUAUUGUUAACUUUAUUAUAAGCCAUGGAAAUAAAUGGUAGAAUGAAAAAGUGCAGAGGAAACAAUCGACCAACUUUAGGCCCCUUCACGAGUAUCUUCCCCGACACCUGAUAGUGCACAAUACAGCCAUCACGAGAAAAUUGAACAUCACAGUCAUUAUCAACCGACUUUAUAGAUAUAAGACUAGUGGAAAGUGCAGGAGAUAGGAGAACAUCUUUAACAGAAGAAUUAAUGUCUCCAUCAUAAAUAGGUAAUUGACUACCAUUAGUAAUCAGAAUGUAUGAGGAUCCCUUAUAUGUCCAAAUAUUGCUAAGAGCAUUAGAAAAACCAAUCAUAUGAUUAUAUGCACCAGAAUCAACAAGCCAUGAUGAUGAUGGUAAAGAAAUGUUACCUUGAAGCCCAAGGACGAAAAGGAUAAAAUAAUCAUUUGCUGGACCAUCUCAAGAGUUAGGACUGAUGAAUUAUUAGCAGAAGAAGUACCAACUGUAGUAUUUAUAUGCACCAGAAUCAACAAGCCAUGAUGAUGAUGGUAAAGAAAUGUUACCUUGAAGCCCAAGGACGAAAAGGAUAAAAUAAUCAUUUGCUGGACCAUCUCAAGAGUUAGGACUGAUGAAUUAUUAGCAGAAGAAGUACCAACUGUAGUAUGAUAGGCAUUAGUUUGACGAUUCUGAGGGUGAGUGGGGCAUUCUUUAAUUUUAUGCCCUAGUUUCUUGCAAUAGUUGCAAUACUUCUUUGCACAGUGGACAGCUCUAUGUCCAUAUUCCUUGCAACUAAAGCAUUGGACCUUCCGCAUAUCUCUACCCUUCCCUUUCCCUUGAGCCGCAUAGGCAACUACAUUAGUUGGUAGUUUGUUUUGCUGUUAAGUGGCCUAUGCAGCAAUAUGUUGCUCCUCCCGAAGUAACUCCCCAAAGCACACAUCCAAAGGAGUUGGAUCGCGAUUCAUCAACUUAGAUCGAGCUGCCUCAAACUCAGGCCGCAACUUCAUCAAAAACUUAUCUCUCUUGCUUUGCUCAUGUAAUUCUUGAACUAUAGCAAGAAGGGCAUCAGGUACCUUUGCAUAAAUCAUAUCAGUAUAUUCUGCCCACAUAUUUUGAAACCCAUUUGCAUGACUUUAACAUUGAGUUUGUUCCGGUAUUACCUUAAGUCAACGAUACUCCUCGGGCUUCUACAUUUUCACAGGGCUCUUAUCCUGGUGCCACAUGUAUCUAAUUGUUUGAGAAAAAGAUGAUUGCUCGCUAAUUUAUAAUUCCUAUACAUAUUUGAUUGUUGUCUACUGAUUAAAUUCACAUUAUCUCCCGUUCGACCACUUGUGCAUAGUUCCAUGAUGAUAUUUAAAAGAUUGAUUAUUUUAAACAACAGAAAUUAUGAUUACGUACAUGGUAGGCACAUAUCAUAUAAUGGAGAUUUUUUUUUCUUUGGUAAGAUAACUCAAAUUAAGAAAAGGUUUUUAUAUAAUUCACUUGAAAUUAAUUUGUUUGACUAGCCAUCGAACUUGAAUAGAAGUUUUGUUUUCAAUAUAAUAGAUUAUUUCCUUAAUUAUGAUUACGUACAUGGUAGGCACAUAUCAUAUAAUGGAGAUUUUUUUUUCUUUGUUAGGUGUUUCUUUGGUAAGAUAACUCAAAUUAAGAAAAGGUUUUUAUAUAAUUCACUUGAAAUUAAUUUGUUUGACUAGCCAUCGAACUUGAAUAGAAGUUUUGUUUUCAAUAUAAUAGAUUAUUUCCUUAUCAUGGAACAUUCGAGCAACCGGUAUUGCACUUAUUUGUUUCUGCAUGCCAGUCUACCGGGCUAGUGUACUGUGCCGCUCAUUAUGUGGAUUCAGUUGUAGUUUUUGUGGAUAAGUUCCAAAGGUUAUUGUUUGAUGUUCACUGUCAAUAUUUGAUCAAAAAGAAAGAUCAUCCCCUUGGUCAGACAAUGUUAUUGAAGAUGAUUUUUGCUUUCAGUUGUCAUCAUAUGGUCAAUAUAUUCAGGAAGAAUCGCUCCUAUGAUGAGAAGUGAUCUACCUUGUUGGAGUUGAAAUCUCUUGGCUGGAGAGAAAUGAUGAGGAAUGAAGAUAAGAAUAUCAUCAGUAGAUUAGGAAUAAAGAUAGUUUAGUUUACAUUAACUUAUUUUAGUUUAUUAGAAUUUUCUAGAUUGACUAAAUUAGCAUUUUAUUUUGUAGAUUUUCUAUUUUGACUUAAAUUAGGCUUUAUUUCCUUCUUUUCCUUCUCAAAUUAGGUUUGCUUGAGGGUCUACUCAUUGUGAUAAUUAAACUUUUAUAUUAAAAAACUAAUAUUUUCUCCCUCUAAAUUUUUCCUUCCUCCUCCUCUUUCUUUUCUGCUUUCUCCUCUUCCUCCCCUCUUUCCCCUUCUACAAGUCUUGUUCUUUGUUCGUUGCAUUCUCUGUCACAUAAACUACAAUCCCAGAUUGUCAUCAUGAAUUUUCAUAGAGAACAACAUAUUUGCAUAUCUUCCCUGGACAACUUGAGCACAGCUUGCAGAUUUCACAAUGAUUUCCGUAAAAGCAGAGUACAAAUUGAACACCAACAGCUAUUUAAAUUUGGAGUAGAGAGGUUGUACUUCUUGUGUGCUUUUCCAUUUUCAUUUCUAUAUGUGUGUCAUGGAGUGAUACGUGGGAUUACCGUGUCUCUAACUAAAGAAAAAGUGAGAUUAUUACGACGACACAAUUUAGGAAAGAUUAAUAAAAAAGUCAGAUAAUAAAAGUCGACAUUAAUUUGAAAUGUGCCAAAAGAACAACAUAAGAGGAAAUGAUGUGCGAAAGUUUACUUUAUGGAAUUAAAAGUAGAGUAUGAGAUGGAGGAAAGACAGUUUAGUAUCACCAAUUCAAUGAGGUGUGUAGGCAUUAUUUGCAUAGUAGAUAAGCCAACAUUAAAACAAGGAAGAUCAAUUACCUGUAGACUGACCAGAAGGUAAUGACAUCACAGGUGGUGGUAGUGGUUGUGAUGGAAGAGUCAUAGGUUGUAGUGGCUGUGAAUAAAGCACAGAUGUAGGUCUUUCGCCCCCAAUCUUAAUGUCAACUGUGCCCCCCAAUUCUUUAUCUGAGAUGCCCCCAUUCAUCGGGGGAGAUUUAUUUCUACUGGUAACUCUUGAGCAUACUAUAAAUAGAAGAACACCAUUAAGAACAAAACAGAAGUUACAAGAAGAAGUAUCUGAGAUCAAUUAUCAUAAACACAUUACGUAUUCACGAAAUGAACUCUUGUGAGAAUGUUAGUUUAAGGUGAACAAUGCAUAAAUUUACCAUAUAUAUUUAGCACACUGCUACACUCGGGGAGAAUUUUCAAAAAGAAACAUGAAUAAAUUUACGAUAUCUAUAUUCAAGGAAAUAUUCUACCCAAUAUGCAGUCAUAAUGGUCGGUCAUCUUAAGGUGCAGUUAAGAUGUAGGUGAAAGGACUUACCAGCAGGUGGUGCUGAUGAUGGCAGCAACUGUGGUGGCGGGAUAGGUGGUGACAACUGUUCUGGCACAGAUUCAGGUCGAGACCCUGAUGGAUGUCCUUCAACAUCAUUUUUUAUUUCUUUUUUGCUCCCCAUUUCACGUCCUACAAUGUUCACAAUUCUUUGGUUAUUCUUCCUAUUCAAUAUCCAAUUUCUAAAUUGUCAUAUCAUUUCACAAUGCCAAAUGGACAAUCGAUAAUUUGCAUGAAGGGGGGAGAAAAUUGCGUGAGGAAGAAAAUUGAGUCAGCCAGAUCUCACCUUUAAAAUUAUUAAAAUGUAUUCUUUUCACUGUCCAAAACCCUAAGUUCAGCAAAUACAUCUACCUCACUCAGCAAAUAAACCCUCAAAAUCUUGCACGUUCGCUCUAACUUGAUAUGCGCAGCAUUUAAAAAAGCAAAAUAAGGUAUUGAGGUGUUUCUCUUUCGAGGCAAGGCACAAGCCUCACCACAAAUCAAAAGAACAAGUAAAAUAUAAAAAAAUGCAAAAUUUAACCAUGUAUCAAACCAUAAACAAACUUUAAAAUUCAUAAACACAAAAUAAAUCAAUGAAGUAGCAAAAUUAAUUUAUUCCCUACUCUUGGUGAGCCUCUUUUGGUUAGAACAUGCAUGCAUGUAUCAUAGGUACAUGACUGUAGUAUUAGUUAAUUGGUGGAAUGUAUUUCUUCAAUACACAUCAAACAUAAAUUCAAGUUUGAUCUUAUCGUAGAAGGGAAGUUAUCUCCUAUUACUAUAUUACUUCCUACCUAACCAAGGAAAUACAAGCAGCAUAACAAUCUCUAAUUCUAUACAUUCCAAAUCCCCGCUCAAGUUGGUACAUAGAUAUCACACAGGCCUAACUUGGAUAGCGAUUUAUGGAAUGAUCCACUAACAACAUUAUGGGUCAUUAUAUCAGCCAGUUGACAUAUGAGCAAUUGGCGCCAACCCAACCUUUUUUAAAUUUUACGUUACACUGCAUCCCUUCGAACUCUACACUCUUAACGUAUAGGACCUAUAUACUCUGGAAGUCGAGGUUACCCUUGACGUAAUUUCUGCUAAGUUCAACAUGCAUGGUUCAAACAUACUGUACCAAGUUAUUAGCUGUCUCAAUAGCUAUAGUGUUAUAACAGAAAAGCACCAUGGGUUUCUUUGGAGAAUCACAGGCUCACUAAGAAGAAUUUUCAACCAUUUAACUUUAGUAGAUGCAUGAUGAAGAGCAAGGUAUUCAGCUUCAGUACUCAAGGGUGAUACCACUUUUUGUUUCUACUCUCUGAGUCCUCAAAUUGCCUCCAAUAAAUGAUACAUGCCAUAAUGUAGACUUCCUAUCAAAUCUUUACCCAACAAAAUCAGAAUGUGUAUAACCCAUAAUAUCUACAUGCCCAUGCUUAGAAAAAUGAUAACCAUGUCUCGAAAAUGUUUUAAAUUUACCAAUAUACGAUUUACUACAUUCUUGUAACAAUCAUUCGGAUAAUGCAUUAAUUAGCUCACAACAUACUACAUAUUACAAGGUGUUCUAUGUAAUAUACAUCAACUUCCAUACAAAUCUUCUAUAUAUCUCUUUCUUCUUUGGAGUUUGAUCGAGAUAAAUAGAAAGUCCAUGAUUUACCUUAAUAGGAGUGUAUUCAGGCUAAGUUUUUGGUUUCUGUUAAGAUUUUUAGUGUAUAUUUUUGUUGGGAGAAGAAACCCUUGCUUGGAAUGAGAUAUUUCAAUGCCUAAGUAGUGUUUUAGAGUCCCCAGAUCCUUUAUUUCAAAUUCGCAACGUCUCUUAUCUCACUGGAGUUACUACUGUAACAAUCAUGUAGUCAACAUAUCCAAUAAUCUGCGUGAUAUCAUCACCAUCUCCAGAGCCUGCUUAAAUUUGUACUCUUUCAUUAAGCAGCUCAGUAUCCCAAACCAAGCCCUUAGUGACUACUUGCAACCGUACAGGGGUUCUCCAGCAUAUCUACGUUACCUCCUGGAGGUGUUGUCUAUCGAAUCAUCAUGAAAGAAAGCUAUCGAAUCAUCAUGAAAGAAAGCAUUAUUAACAUCAAAUCAUCUUAAUGGCCGGUCUAGAUUAACAGUUACCAAUAGUAUGACUAAAAAUGUUAAUAUUGGCCACCAAAGCAAAGCUUUUUAAUAAUCAACCCAUAAGUCCACCUGCAACCUUUGGUUCUACUAUAAUAGACUUCCACUUUCCAUCUUUAAGGGCUCCCUAAAAAUGACUAGGAAUAAGCACAUAAUACAAGUGAAAGGCAGAUGUCAGGUAAGUCUUAAUAAGAGAUUUUGAGAAACCCAACCAAUCGAGUUCUUUCCAAUUGCAAAGAGGGAAUCUUCAACCUUGACUGCCAGCUAAUCGAUUCAAAGUGGUAGUUUCUGAAGUUCCAGGGUUAGAAUCAGAAGAUAGUGUUAAGAAAAAGGGGGGAACAUGUAACUCAUGAUUAUUUUCGAAGAGUCAUUAAAUGGAACAGUAUUAUUAUCAAGGGAAAGGUUGGAAUUGUUUCAGUAUGGCAAUGGUUCCACAAUAGAAUUUUCUCCUUGUAUAACUUUUUUUAAACAACCUAGGUGAUCUUUGACUCCAAACAUCAGUUUCAUCUUGUGGAGUGAACGGUUCAUCUACGGACUCUUACCUUUACCUGAAAUCCACCAUCUCUUCUUUCCCAAACACACCCAUUCCUCUUGUUUACUACUUUUAUCUCCCCUAAAAAGGAACCAACUAAACAACCUCAGAGUAGGACUCCAGUAAACUAAACAACUACAGACAUGCAAAAUUGACCUGUAGGAAAAUGGACUUAUAGUUUUUUUGGGAGUAAGAAUAUCCAAGAAAAACAUGUAAGAGCAUCAGGAUCAAGCUUAUCUUAAGUUGAGAUUGCACAAGAAUAUAACACAAAGAGCCAAAUGCUUUAGAACUAAGAUUUCAGGCAAAGGAAUUGGUGUAAAAUCAUGACACCUUUAAAGGGGUUAGUUAGAUAGUCAAUGAUAGGAUCUAUAAGAAAGAUAGCUGUACUGCGGUAAUGACAGCUCAGCCCAAAAAUAUUUAGGAACACACAUAGUAAAGCAUAAGGUUAUACUGGCCAAUUCUACGAUAUGCGAGUUCUUACGCUCUACUAUACCAUUCUGUUGUGGUGUGUAGGAACACAUUGUGAUGAGGACAUAUAUUUUAGACUAUUUAGUUUAGUAUUUUAUUUGGGUUUAUAUUAUGUUUUGGGCCUUUUUAUUUUUCUUUGGGCUUGUAUAGUGUUUUGGGCUGGCCCAAGCCCAAUCUUUUGUUUGUAUAUUAUAUAGAGGCAUGCAGCCUGUUGCAUGCAGAGGAGAUUUGAUGGAAAUGAAUAUGAAUUGAAAGCCACAGGCUUUUCCACCGCCCCUCUUCUUCCCCUUCUCCUUCUCCUUCUCUCCUCCUCCUCUUCUCUUUUCUUACUAUAUGUAUUCUGCUUCUUCUUCUGCUGGUUUCUUCAACCCUCACAGGUUCUAAGUUAUCAAGCUAUGCUACAUCACAUUGGCUGUUGAAGUAUGCCAUAUGCGAAGAUUUGUUUAGAGAUUGAUUCACAAAUUCUUGAUUUAUAACCUUCUUUCUAACAAAUAAACCCAACUCAUCCUAGUGCAGUCAUCCAUAAAAGGCACAAUGGCCUAAACGGUAAUGCCAUGGAAGAAUUUUCUCCCUAGCGGAUGUUUCUCUCACCACUUGGAAACCCCUGCUAUAUUGUAACUGCAACUCACUUGCCCCCUCUUAAGUAGUAAAGACCUCCCCUUUAUCUACAACUGCCAUCAUCAUCUUCAUUACAUAGCCCUAAAACACAUAAUGGCAGAAUAAAUCACACAAAGAUUAAGAUGCUUGAUGAUUUUGCUCAUCUCUAGAAAGUUAUUAGAGUGUUGGUGCAUAUAAAACAGAAGUCAUAGAGAGUGGGAGAGACGUUCCAUGCCCCUAAAAUUGGCAUAGGACCAACAUGAGCACACGUAAAAGAUGAGCAUAUGAGUGACCCAAGUAGGAAGAGUUACUAGUCAUAUGGAUAUUGGCCCCUGAAUCAAUAACCCAAGCAUUAGCGACAGCAAAAAUAAAAGCUUAUUUAGAAUUACCUCCAUGGGAGAAUACUCGAGAUACGUGAGAAGCAAAGGAUGGAGAGAUGCCAAUUGUUUCGGUCAAUCUUUUAUAUAAAUUAUUGAAAAAAAAAUGAGAUUGAGAAGAAAAAAAUAACCAAAUCUAAAUAAAGCCCAAAACAACCUCAUUCGAAUAGCAAGCUCAAUUCGCUAAAUACUACUAUUACCCAAUAACAAGCCAGUAUACAAACAAAAAGACUUGUCGAUUCAACAGUAAGAAGUGUCAGCGUAGAAACCUAGGGCAAUGAAUCGCUGGGUCAACCAAGAAGAAGCGCUGCCCAACAGUUCGGAGGUCGCCGAAAAGUUACCACAACAAGGUCGCAAACACCACAGAAAAUUUUGUGCAACAGCCACACCCCAAAAACCGUUUGCCCAGCAACGAUCAAAUUUGUUGAUAGAAAACAAUCAAAUAUUACUACUUCCCAAUAGCGAGCCCAAUUAGCUCAGUUGUCUAAAAACAAGCAAAGGCAGUAGAUGAUUAAAAAAACUUUUCAACAGUAAGAAGAGCAAUCAGC
rnacentral:lncRNA from 1 species